AAAAAAAAAAAAAAAAAGAAGGAAAGUAGAGGGAAUUGGCCGUUGGGGGAGUAGCUCUAACUCAGUGAGUCAGUGCUCAAUAGAUGAUUUGGAAAUUGAACAAUGGCGGUGGAGGCGAAUUUCGCAUCGUUGUUUGAGAAGCUGAAAGUGGAAGAUCCAUGGCUCCCUCCUCGAACCUGGGAAUCCAUUCCUUCUCAAAGCGGCCCCCUUCCUCCUCUUCCAAACUCUCAACCUCCCAUUUCCUCCUCUUCAUCAGUCUCCGUAAGUAUUAUCAUCUCUCUCUCUUGGUCGAUCGAUAAAUUUUAUGUACCAAUUUUAAGAUGUACCUUUGAUUGUAUAUUUCAACAGCCUACGAACUACGACAUUGCCUGGGUAAGCUCUGAUGUUUGGUUUUUAUUCUAGAAUUCUUUUAGUUUUAGUGAAAUUUAGUUUUUAAAUUCUGCUUCUUUUUAAAAAAAAUUAAAUUAAACGUGUUUGUUAACUGAUCUGAUGGUGUUAUUAAGAAAUUAAAAAUUAAAAUAUUAGUAACAUUUAAAAUUUGCAUGAAUUUUGUUUUAAAUGAAGAAAAUGUUUGACUGCAUUCCCAUUUUUAAUUGUUAUAAUAUAGUUUUGAUUUUUACUCACUAUCAGGAAGCAAAAAAAACUACUGGCUAAAGGCCAGUAGCAAAAGAAUGACCAACUGCUUCUUUGUUUUGGAUUAAGAUUCUACUUUACUGAUCUCUUUUAUGAUUUGAGUAAGCGGCUGCUUGGAAGCUGGAUCUCUAAUUAAGCAUACUGCAUCAAAUUGCUUUGCUGAAAUAAUUAUUUGUGUGAGAUAUAGAGAAAUAAGAAAAUAGAAAUUUAACUGAAUUGAACUCUGUUGCAACUUGAGGUAAUCUAUGAAGCGGACACUUCUAGUAAGGGAGUGUCCAAGAGUUAGACACGGCAGACUACACGCUGGGCAUGUGAGUUCAUGUCAAAAAAUUAAAAAAAAAAAUCUUGACACAGUCAAAACAUAGUCAAGACACAGCUUAGCAGGUCUGAGCACAGCUGAACACACCAUUAUGGUUCCCCCCCCCCCCCCCCCCAAAAAAAAAAUGAAAUCAACAAGGAGCAAUGUGGUUCUAAUGUAUUUUUAAAGGUUCAUGUUUCUAAAAUCAAUAGCAAAUUUUUAAAAUUGAAAAGCUAUUUGCAUGUUAAAUAUUUAUUUGAAAAGUAUUGCUUUUACAUUUUAUUGUAUGCUAUAAUAUAAAAUGUCUUAAUUUUUUAAAAUUUAUUAUGUCGCGUGCCGAUGUCAUGCGGUACCUGUAUUACAUGUCAAUGUACAUGCUUCCUAGGUGGUUAUGAAUUGUGUGAAGCUAUGAAUUUUUAUCAGCAAAUUCAAGUUUUAGAAGGUCCAUUUUGAGUAACCUGAAGAAUGUGUACUCUUUGGGACUAUAAUGAUAGAUGCUGGUUUGUGGUGAUUCUACUUAAAAAUAUGAUCAAACCAUAAACAUUAUUUUUAAGCUGCAGUCAUCUAUUUUAUUUCUUUAUAACAAUCGAGAUGACAUUGUCAUACAGGAGGCAACUUUGGUGAGGUUGGCACUAAAUGCACUGCAAGGCGUAGAAUCAUCUCUUUGUAGCAUAGAAAAACUUUCUGCUGCCUUUUUUUCCGAUCCUGCGGAUAGGACUUUCCAUCAAACACCUAGUCUUUGGUACCGGUCUUCAAGCACUCAUGCUUUGGGGAAGAUUCUCAAAUCAAUAGGCCGUUCAGGUUUCUUAGUUUUCCUUCUCCAUAAGUUUGAAGAAUAUUUUACAAAUUUGAAUCUCAAUGGAAAUUCAUUUUCACUACGGAAGGGCUGGGAAAAUUCUCAAGCAACAGACAAUCAAAAUCAUGGUGGCCACAAAGUGCAAGAGGAAGAGGGCCCUAAAUAUAGCCUUGUUAAUCAAGCAUUCUCUGUAGCUGUAGGAAAGGUUUUGGAAGGGUACAUUUGUGCGUUGGACACGUUAUAUGCAUCAGUAAAUGUAAGGCAUUCAAAGAGUACUGAAGUCUCUACAGGUGUAUCUUCAGGCUGUCUCACAAGUGUGGUUUACUCUGGAAUUACGCUAUUGGAGGUAUACCUGCACACAAAGGAAUUGAGGACCCAGAUUGAAGCUCUUGGGAAUAUAUGCAAUCUUCAUGAUUUAGCUCUUUGCUUCUUGGAAUCUUCUUUUGAAGAACUAAGUUAUAAGGCAACCAUGGGAUUUCAUAAAUUCUUUAGGGGAGGUGACCUGCUUAGUUACUUGUAUACACAGCUAAAGGUUAGUUUAAUUGAUUGUUGUAUUGUUGAUAUCUUUCCUUAAAUUUUCAUUUCAGUCAAAUUUAACUCUCUAGUCUUUAUGUUGGCCAAGCUUCAUAUUACCGUUGGAUGCACUGGAAAUUUUCAGCUAUGACCUCUAGAGUCAUUAUAUAUGGUGCUUGAUUGAUUGAACAACCAGGCGUUAGAAGUUCUUCUUUGCUUCAACUUAUUUCCCCUAAAAGAUAGGAAGUUUAUUAAGAACCAAACAUCCUAUUGCUGAGAAAUGUUUUUUAACCCCUAUGGUUUUGCUAGUUAACAUUCUUUUACCCAUUUCUUCUUGUAGGUUGCGGACCCUGCUCACCAUGCUUUAUUCAAGUUUCUUUUUCUUCGGUCAUGUGAACCUUAUUGUGAGUUUAUAAGGUCCUGGAUUUUUAAAGCUGAGAUUAAUGAUCCUUAUAAGGAGUUUGUUGUAGAGUACAUUGAUACAUUACAACAUCGUUCUGCUGGUAAAGAUGGAAUCCCUAUUGACUUUCCGGUUGCAAAUAUUACGGUAAUAAAUUUUGAGUGGUUUAAUUAUGUUUAAAUAUUUCACUUAUUUUAGUUCUCUGUCAAUUGUGAUCCUCUUAAAAGUGACAAUUUGUAUCAGGAGCGGGAUGGAGUUGUUGUUCCAUGUUUCCUGAAGGAUCUUUUGACUCCACUUAUUAGGGCUGGUCAGCAGCUUCAAGUUCUAAUGAAAUUGCUUGAAUUGCGUGAACAUGUUGAUACUGGAGACCAUACUUAUUUAGAUUUUCUUCCCUGCUGGAGUGGUUUUGCUGGCAGUAAUCCGUUUUAUGCUUCUUCAAUCACUUUUGGCAAAGAAAAUAUAGAAGCCUUGGUUCUCAUGCGUAAUAGUUACUAUGAGAGGAUGGAGGAGAAACUUGAAAAUUUACUGACAGGGUUGGAAUUCAAUUGUCAACAGGUAUUACAAUUUUUCUUGUAGAUAUGUUGCCUUCUUAUCGUGUGCUAUGUAAAGGAUGAUAUGAAAAAUCUGCAACUAUUACUUGGUUUCAAUUAGUGUGCUCUUGUGUUUCUCUGUUGGUUUUACCAUGGUUCAUAUACUUUUAUUUCCAGUUGUAACCGUCUAUACUACCUUGCUGGCUGUCUGGGCCUUUGUGUAUUAUGUGAAAUACUGAAAUUUGAUUAAUAACCUGUUGUAUCACUAAAUACCAGCAGACAUACUAUCUUGAUAAUUCAUAUUUCAGGUUGACUUAACCGAUAUGUUAUCCCAACUAGAAAUAAACAAAUAGUAAUUUGUACUGUGCUUUCUCAUUUAGCAACUUCUUAGGCUGUAAUAACAUGCACCAAUUAUUACUUAGGACAUGGUUCUAUGUUCAGCACAAUACAUCACUAAUCUAUUUAUUUGAAACAAAUUAGUCUUUUUGCUGUUGUUCCUUGCAAAACUUUUUUCUUUUUUACUCCUGUUAGAUGCUUUGUAUGCUAAGAACUUAAAACGAUUCUGCUUAUUCAGCAUGGAGAUUCCCAAGUUUUAUUUUGUUCUUCCGGCCCCCAUUCUGGACCUAGGAGUCUGUAAAUUUUUUUUAGAAUUGGUAGAUUAUGAUAGGGUAGACAAUGUAAAUAAUCAUUUGUAUCUAGGAAUUUUUUUUCUUUUUUCCUGUACCUGGCUUUACACUCAAUGGUAUGCCCAAGUUGUGACAUGUUGGAGGUUUCAUUCACUGACCACGGGCAAUUGUUAUGCAUCUUAAUGCUGUUUUACCCAGUUCUGUGCCUUACCCAAAUAUUCACUGUCUUCCAGGUAUUUUCGCAUAGGGCUGAACCUCAUUUAUUUGGUACUAGUGGAGACACUCCAAAUAUUGUAGCUUCACUCACAGUGGACGACAAAUUGGUUAUUAAUUCAACAAUGAAACGAAGUUUCUCUAAUGUGUAAUCUUUCUCUCGCUGCCUCUCUCUGUGCAUGUGUAAAAUUGUCCUUUUAAAAUUUUUUUUACUUUAAUUUGUUUCUGAUAUCUGGGUUAAAUAAUUGAAGGAACUCUCUUCCAAUGAAACUCUUUCCUAAAGACUUGAUAAGACCAAUGGUGCAAGAAAGCAUGUAGGCAAAGGGUUCAAUAACUCCUAUAUAAUUUAUUAUCUAGGUGGAAAACUUUUUCUUAUUCUAAAGGACUGAUUAGGUGAGAGAGCAUUUAGUCAUUGAUUGCAUAAAAUUAAUUUCAAUUUGCCAAAAUAAAAUUUAUAAUUUUGGAUUGAAAAGGUUUGAUCUUUAUGAUGAUCGAGUGGCUCAAAUUCAAAGGUUUCCUCUCUUGAUUUUCAGGAAUUGAGUGUUUGGAACCUACUAUUUCUGGCAAGUUUGGACUAUAAGGUCUGAAAACAAUAAGAAAAGUUAGGGCCCAAAAAAUGGCUUAAUGGUAUAGCUAUGACCUUAAGUUGGAAAACUUGGUUUGGAAGUUUUAUUGUCCUGGUAUUAUGGGUAUUGCAAAAGCUAUCCGUAUUGUCUACUUGAUUUUAGGUCAAAGUUUGCAACUGGCUUGUUUGUAUGUUCUUAAGGGAAAAAUUGUAAGACCAGUUGCAGGUUUCAAGUGCAUUUGAAAGCAUUUGGAAGAAAUGAUUAAAGACCUUGGUUCUAUCUAGGGCCUAGAGAUGCUUCUCCUCGGUGCAAAUUCAAAAGAGCACCACUAGAACAAGAAAACUUUCAUUAGUCUCUUUCUAUGAAAAAAUUGACGUCCAAUUAGGGAAACUGCCUAAAGUUUGUUUCAAGCAUCUCCAAGUUGAAAACAUAGGCCCAAUAACAUGAAGCCGGUAUACGACUCACUGUCAAAUAUGACAGCCUAAUAAUGCCUAUCUUGCAGCCAAAAAAUAUUCUAAAAGUGGCUAUAACUCCUAAAGUCCAAGAGCACCUGAAUUAAAUAACAUUUUUGAUUGGAAACAAAUGAAGGAAAAAAUAAUAAUUUUCUGCACCUAAUAAGGUAUGUAAACAACUUCCUAUGGGAGUAACAUUUCUGUUAGUCCAUGAUAAUUCCUCACUUUUGAUCCUUAUUUUUGUUCGUAAUUUAAGUGAACUUGUUGAAUAUCCAACCUAAAACUAAUUGGUAAUAGAUGAAGGGGAUCCACUUUUAAUAUAAGUCCAUGAUAAACCAGUACUUAAUAAGAUGUCAGUCAGCACCACUUAAUAUUCCCCUCCCAUGUAGCUCACAGGAUCUUGUUACAACAUACAACUAUUUAAUAACUAUGCAAGCAAGCUAUAUAUGAUUUGAACAGUCUCAAAGAAGUAGGCAAUAUAUUCAGAUAUGUUAAGAUUAGGGGAGAGUGAGGUUAACUCCUGGCAUUGUUCACUAUGAUUGUUAUAUACCCUCUUACAUGCCUUGUCUCCGAAUCUUUUCUCAUUAUCAACAUUUGACUUGCAUAUUCUUUUGUUGUCUGAUCGAUACCUGAUUUCUUUGAAUUUCAGGUCGCUUGACAAUAAUGAUUUUGAUGACUCUAGUACAAAAGAUGGAUCCUCUCAUGAAGCUGACAUCUUUGAACCAUUUGAGUCUUCAUCUAUGAGUAGUUUUGAAGAACAUACUGAGUCUGAGCAGUUGAUUGAACACUCUAAUAAUUUAGUUUGGCCUAAACAAAAUUAUUUCUCUGCCCUAAGCUUUUCUGUUAGUUCCCCAUUUGGAAACUCAUUGCAGCUAGCUUUGCAGAAUGGACAGUCUGACCGUAUGGAAAGCAGUUUGCAGGCUGGAACUGGUGGGCAUGGCAAUUUUAUAGGUUGUGAACCUAAUGGGAUAUAUGAUCACUUGUCUCCGCACCUUGAGUCAAACUGGUUGUGUGCAGAGGUUGAAUCUGCAAAUAUUCUCACUUCCAAAGGUUGGCCAGUUAACAGUGCAAGGAAUAAUGCCUUCUGUAUUGAUGGUGAUGACAGAGAUGACAAAAGAUCACAUCUAUGUGAUUCUGACAUAAAGAUGAGAAAAUGUAACACGCAAUUCUUUGAUAAAUUUGUGCAACAUUUUAAUGAAUCAAUUGCUAUCAACAAUACUUCAGCAGUGGACACGUCAAAUGAGGUUCAACAUGAAAAGGACUCUACUUCAGGGUUAUUCCAAUUGCAACAGUUCAAGCUUACUUACAAUGGUAGCCUUCUGAGCAAAAAUCCAAUGUUGACAAACAAUAGUUUUUUCCGUAUGAUGAGCAAAACUGGUGUUGCAAGCCGGAUAGACCACCAACAAACUUUACCUUAUUUUGAUUUUUCUUCAGUUGAUGACCCUUGUAUGGUUUAUGUCAAAAGGCUAUCAUCUGGGUUUACACAUGAAUUUCCUGAGAAUACCAGUUCUGUGACAAAUGGUAGGGGUAAUCAGGAUGACAAACAAGGUUAUGGAGAUGUUCUCUUGGUUGACAAUUCAAAAAGUUCUUAUGCUGUUCCACCUUUGGAGUUAAGGAAUCAAACCCAGGAUGUCAUUUCAACGACUGUUUCUGGCAGCAGCUAUUGGGAGAGUUUGCUUGGUAGUUUUAGCAACCCUAAUAGCAGUGGGACUAUAGAUAUGAAGCUGAAUACAUCUUCCACAUUUGAGAUACCCCUUGACUUCGUAAUUGACAAAUGCCUGCUGCAGGAAAUCUUGCUUCAGUAUCCUUACUCAUGUCCUACUAGAUGGGGAGGAAAGAUAACCAUAUUGUCCAAUUAUUCAUUCUUUAUGUUGGUUUAUUAGUGCUUGGCAUCAGGCCCAAACCUUAAUUUCAUUUAUAUAGAAUGAUUUAUUUGCUGCAUUUAUGAUUUUCUUUGCUAUUGGAUUUGAGAUGAUUAUGGAUUUUCUUGCUGUGAUAUGUGCUAGCAUAAGUUGGCUGUCUGUUUAAUAUCCAAAGAACAGACAGAUGGUGAUACACUUUAGUGGUUAUUGCAAAUAUAUGCAAUUUAAGAUUUUGGGUAUAUGCAUUUAUCAUGGAAAAAAAAGCCUUUCUUCCUUCUCCAACCCUCCUCUUCCACCCAACCAAUAAAAGGAAAAAUAAAUAAUCGAGCUUUACUUUGUGUCAAAGCCCUAUAUUUAGCUGCCAAGUUUAGAUCAUUCUAAUUAUCCUAUUCAUAUUUCUAUCUGUUCAAAAAGUUUAUGUCGGACUGUGCUUUUUCUUAAUUAUUUAAGAUAUAACUAUGUCAGCAAAUUAACCAUCAAGAUACUUGAAGAAGGUUUUGAUUUGCAAGAACAUUUGUUAGCGCUGCGGCGAUAUCAUUUUAUGGAAUUGGCAGACUGGGCAGAUUUGUUCAUCAUGUCCCUUUCGCAUCAUGUAUGACUGUCUGUCUAAUAAGUCACUUAAUGCUUUAUUAUUUAAAUAUUGUGUGCUUUUUCAGCAAGGAAAAAAAUGAAUAUUUAUUACUUACAAUCAUUUCCUUUUUACAUGGAAUGAACAGAAAUGGUGUGUUACAGAGGUGGACCGGAGACUCUCUGAAAUUCAAGGACUUCUUGAGUUGUCCGUGCAGAGGUCAUCUUGUGAAAGAGACCCUCAUAAAGAUAGGUUAUUUAUUUAUGCAAAAGGGCAUGGGUUGUUGCCUCUUUCAACUUCUACAAUUGGUACAAUUAUCAUUAAUUCAUUAUUCCAAUUUAACCUCCUGUUUCUCAAACAUAUACAUGCUCGGAUCCUAUUUCUUUCAUCUGCUCCCAUUUCAACCUCCAUGUUAGAGGAACCCAUUCGGUUUAUUUAUCAUCUUAAAAGUUUAUGGCUGUUAACAUGGCAGGUGUUCAUUCCUUCGACUUUUUAGGUCUGGGCUAUCGAGUGGAUUGGCCUAUCAGCAUUAUUUUGACUCCUGCUGCAUUGAAAAUAUAUGCUGAUAUAUUCAACUUUCUGAUACAACUGAAGCUUGCUGUUUUUUCACUGACUGAUGUAUGGUGCUCAUUAAAGGUGCAAGAGACAUGAAUUACAGAGAUAACAGCUGUUUACACUUGCAUAUGCAUGCCUGGUCACAAUUUCUUUACCAUUGAAAGUCAAACCAAGCGGGUGCAUAAUUUUUAAGCUAAACCUAGUUUUCUUCAUCCUUCAUGGGUUAAAUAUGUAUAUUGCUAAUUGUUAGUACCCUGUUGAAACUUCUCUUGAUUCAAGUGUUGGUAAAUUACUAAUGUUCAUCUAUCUGCAUAUAGUUCAAUCAAAAUUAUGGUAUACUCGAUAUUUUCUCAUCUAAUCCACACUGUUCUCAGAACAUUGUAUUUUCUUUCACAAUCUUUGUGUUGCACUUUCUAAGAAUUAGCAUUUGCAACAUGAAAUACUUGGAUUUUGGCACUCAUGGAAAUUUCAAAUGAAUUCACCUCUUGAUAAUAUUUAAAUAUUUGUUACAGGAUAUAGUGCACUUGAUCUGUCAAAAACGCCAUCCUACACUACAUGAACGUGAAGUGGGCCAUUUUAACAAGUUAAUGAAGUUGAGGUAUGGUUAAUACUUUUGCAAUUUAUGAAUAAUAAUUAUCAUUAUCAACUCAAAGCGAGAAAAACACUAAACACUUCACACUUAUGGCCUCUCCGCUUGUGCAAUUGUUUGGAACACCAUUCGAUGCAAAAUUUUGGUAACAUUGCUGGUUUGGAAGUUUACAAAUAUGUAAAGCAUCCUAAAGUUCUGAGUUUCAAAGAUUUCAUUUGGUGUUGACAGUUAUUUGGCUAAUUUUAGAAGCAAUUAGCAUCUUUCGCUCAGAAUUUAGCAUUCACCGACUGUGCAGCUACAAUUUUAUUCCAUCUUCUAACCUUGACUACAGACAAGCACAAGUGGGUGGGGAGGAUUGUCUGGUAGCUUUUAUUUAAGAAAAUGUGAAUUUCUAAAUGGUAAUCCGAUCUUCAGAUACUUGUUAAAAAGAAAUAUGUGAAGGUUCUUUAGGUGCAAACGACCUUUUCGUUUUUCCCUUUUUUCCUUAAAAUUUUGGUGCUAAAGUCAAAAUCUACAUUCUAGUAUUUUAAGAAAUUCAGACCCUUUCUUCAUGUGUCGAUUACCAGGAUGGACGGUAAGAUAUCUAAGGAAAUAGAGAAUUUGCUAAAAGAGGGAGAAUGAAUUAAAAUUUCUGCUUUUUGAUGGUUAUAUCUGAUAGUGUACUUUGUGGUAUCUUACUGUCAAACUCGUCAUGUGUGACAUUGGGGCGAAAAAUCCUAAUGUAAUAAAGGUAUCUAGCUUUGAUGUUUCCUUUUUUAGAUAGUUUUAGCGUUUAGGUUUACUAAGAAUUAACUUUUUUUCUUUUCUUUCUAUGCCAGGCAUCAGGUUAAUCAUUUUGUAUCUACACUACAGCAAUAUGUACAGUCACAACUAUCACAUGUAUCAUGGUGCAAGUUUCUUCACUCAUUUAAGCACAAGGUUUUUAGAAAAUUCUUACACAUCGUGUGUUUAUCUCUUAUGCCGAUUGUGGUUCAGUUUACCUGAACUGGUUUUUGUGCAUUGCCGGUCUGAAGCCAAGUCAUUCUCUUCUUUUUUUGAGUUGCAAUUUUUCCGAGGACCUUUUCUUUUCUGAUUUUGCUGAGAUUAUGGUUUUAAAUACAGCAUAGAAAAAAAAAUGCAAUCAUUAUAGCUGUCCCCUUGCAAUGGGAAAAAGCAUGGGUUGUUUUUAUUGUUUGGUAAGCAACUAAUUUUAUUCCAACCCUGCGGAAGAAUAAAUGUUUGCGCUAACUGUUUAACAUCUUUCUCAAUUGAAGAAAUAUUUAGUAAAAGGAGAAACAGAACACCAUGCUAGAUUGAUGUGUAUCCAUGUACCAACAAAGCUAUGUUUUGAUUUCCUAACAUUUUCCUUAUCAUCUAAAGCUUAUUAUUUUGUUUUAAAAUAUCAUAAUAAUUACAAUAUUUGAAUCUAUUAUACAGCAUGUAUUUAUGCUCUUUAUUUGGUUUUACUUUUUAUGCCUCUUAUUAGUCUAUUUUCAAAUUGACUUCUACUUAUUCAAAUGCAAAGGGAGAAAUUCUCUAGGUUGUUAUGUUAUUGACGCUGGUUCAUGGUUCUACAGGUCAAAGAUAUGAUGGAUCUUGAGUCGGUGCAUAUGUCAUAUCUAACUGAUUCACUACAUAUGUAAGUCCUGCUUUGCUUUCGUUUAAAGUUUGAGUUAGCCAACUUUUUUUUCCUCUUUUUUUUUUUUUUUUCUUUGGGGGGGGGGGAGGGGGGAGACUUGUUAUAUUAAUAAUUGGGUUCUUACUGCCUUAAUUCCCUUUGGACCAAGUUUUAACCUCGAAACAUAUAUGGAACUUGGAACAUAUCUAUUGUGGCUACUCCAGCUACCUGCCCCUCAACAUCCUUGAUAUGCUUGUUUCUAUAUUGAUAAUGCAAUUGAUUAAGCAUCCGAUCUAAAAUCAAUUGGUAAUAGGUAAAAGGGUUCAACUUGAAUAUAAGAUCACCAAAAACUCUAAGACUUCAUAGAUGUAGGAUAACCCCGCUUAACUCUGCCUUACAUGUAACUUGACAAGGGCCUACAUAUGGACAAUCUCAGAUCCGGUGGGCAACCAACCUCACAGGGGGUGCAACAGAACAAAAAUUUGGCUCUAAUACCAUAUCAAGCUUCCAAUCUAAAAGCAGUUGAGAAUAAGUGGAAGGGACCAACUUGAAUAUAAGACCACAAGAAAGACAUAAUAGAUAUGAGAUACCACCACUUUAACGCUCUCAAAUGUGGAUACCUUUUCCUCAUAUUACUCCAGCCCUUCACUUUUCUUGAAGUAUCGAGGUCCAGCACAUCCGAGCAUUGGUACGGGGAUAUGACCAUCUAAGAACCCUUCAGAAAACGUGAGAAAAUUGAAGAUGCUUGUUUCACACAUAUCCGUAUUUGACACUCACACCCAAGUCCAAGUAACAUGGCCUUUUCCUUUAUGAUCAAUGCCAAAGCCAAAGAAAUCUUUUACUUGCAUUGACUCCGAUAUUCAAACUGCAUCUGUUUUGUUGCCACAGAAUAAUUCUUGUAGCAUGUUCAGUUUCACACUAAUGAUGAUUCUUCAUUAACAAUACAUGUAUACUUUUCAGAUGUUUUCUAUCUGAUGAAACAAAACCAAUAGCCAGUACCAUAGAGAAUAUUUUGCAGUGUGCCCUAGACUUCCGGUCUUGUCUUACUGGGGAUAUAUGGAAUGUGGGACUUGCUGAAGGUGAUUUACAGGAUAAACUUUCUAAGAUCAACAUAUCUCAGGUAAUCAUCAAAUUAUGAUCCAUACUGCCUUCUGCAAUAGAUUUGCGUGAUGUUUAAGUAAGCUUCAAAAUCCUGACUUUUAGUUUCUUAUUGCAAGCAAGUAUUGCACUAUGGUGAAAUUCAGUAUUCUGGCGAUGAACUCCAUCAGGCAUAAAUGCAUAACUGUUUUCUAUAAGAAGUAGUUAUUUAAUCAUUCUUUGUUUCUGAACUUUUAAUUAUAGCAACUGUAUUUUGAGGAAGAUACAUACAUUUUAAAUUGCAAACAGAUGUUACAUAACUGAAUUCAUCAUGCAUCUUUAUUCCGUUAAGUUGUGCUCAGUGAUGGUUAAUAUGAUAUGGAAUUUACUGCCAUUUCUGUGCUUGAAAUAGGUUGAUACAUUUUCUGUCUCUAGCUUGUUUGCAAUGCAUUGGUAACUAGGAGCUGAACACAAAACAAAGUCUUUUCUUGUUUUAAAAUGUUAGAGCAGACACAUGUGACUAGAUUUUUUUAGAAAAUAUGUCAGUGCUCGAGUUGAGAUGGAUGAAGUCAAACUUAACGUGUAAUAGUAAUGGUGAUUCCAAGGAGAUAGAAAGACUGAUAAAUGCUAUAGAGAUUAUUAUCAUCGGAAGGUAUUACAAGCCAAAAAGAUCCAACUAGAACAAAUAGCAAUUCAUUGAACAAUUAGAGAAGUCUUUGCAGCAAGUAGAAUUAUUUCAAUUUCUUAGACUUCUAAGUUAACAUUUUAGAUGAGAGACAGAGAGAAAACCUAAUUAAUAAACUAAUUAUAUAUAUUUCCUGCAGGUUCUUGGCAUAAAAGAAACGUUCGACAAAAAUCUUAAAGAACUGCAUCUACUCUACCUCAAAUCACCUAAACAUGGAGAAUCUGGGCUUUCGUGUUUCUGGGGAUAUCUCAACUAUAAUGACUAUUACUUUAAUGAAAAUGAAAUGAGCUAUUAUGCUUUCUCAAUCUGAAGUCCUUUCCAUGAAGAUCGAAAGUAGGUAGCGAUAUGCAUUCUUGUGUGCCACUAAGUUCAUCGAAACAAGCUCAAAGUAGAAGUCCUAAACUGCAUCGUGGUUUGGACUCAAUACUCUUAGCAGCAGCCAACCUGCACCAUAUCAUCUUUGCACUCCUGCAUUCGAUUUUCAUGCAAGGUAAGGCAUCAAUCCUUUAUUUAGCUGGCUAUGGUGAAGAAGUAACAUGCUAAUUGAGAUUUGUUGUGUUUGUUGUCUCUUAAUUUAGGGUAUAGUCUUUAACAUUUUCCCCCCUUCUUAAUGAAUUUUGUUUCCAAAGGGUAAAGUUUGAAUGUGCUUUUGAGUUCCACUAUUUUUCAAACAAGGGCGUGUAAAUGUUUAAUAUUGAAAUGUUCUUAUUUAUUUCUAUUUCUUACUAUUUCAUUGGAGUAAAAAGUAGGCAAUGGUAAAUGGCACGUUACGUUGGGUUUGGUUUUGAAAAAAGAAAAUGUUGUUGUGCAAUAUUUGUCUUUUGAAAAGUUGAUUUUUUUUAUAUAAUGUUUAGAAUUAUUUAUAACCCCUUUUAAUCUUAAAUAGAAAGAUAAAUGUACUUUAGAAUGUUCAAACUCAUAUUUUCCUACACUGGUAAUUGUACCGAUGCUAUUCAAACUAAAACUCAAACGGAUCAUAACUAAAAUUCCAUCAGUUUGGCUAAUUGCUUUCUUCUUAAUUAAAAAGAUUGUGCACUUGAAGCCAUUUAAUCUAAGUUACUCUACCAACUCUUACCCUAAAAAAUUAUUAUAACAACAAGAAUGUUAACUAAACUCGUAGGGGUGAUUCUCGUCAACUAAAUUAGUAGGGGUGAGUUUAAUUUAAUUUGAUUGGAUCUUUUUAGAUUUUUUUCAUAAUUUGGUUAGAUCUAUGGUUUUUCAUAAUUUGGUUAGAUCUAUGGUUUAGUUUUAGAUGUGUAGAUUUUAUUUUGGUAAAAUGAGAUUUGUUUUAUAAUUUUUGAAUAUUAUUUGAUAAAUUCAUAUAUAAAAAAUAAUUAAUAAUUCUUAUGUAAUACUUUUAAAAAUAAUCUACGUAUUAUCUUAAUGUUAUUUUUAUCAUUUUAAAUAAAAGUAUUUUUUUACAUCUUGAAAUAAAUUGAUUUGGAUAAUUGCAAACUCCUAAACAAAACUGUACUUACAAACAUAAACUCAGUUAGCAGCUAUACGUGCACCAUUUUUUAAACGUACACUUACAUCCUUGAUUACAUGGUAAAAAGCAAAAUAGAAAACGCAUUUACUACUGAGAUAUGCACAUGCUACAUAUCUAUGACAAUGACAGCUGAACUCAACAGUAGUAACUAAGAUAACAAUAAUUAAUAAAACAAAGAGAGUAAAGGAAUGUACCUUUUUGAUAUAGAAAAUUAAAUAGAUACGUUAAUUAUGUUGAACAGAUUACCCACGCUAAUCAAUAAUUGUAAAUCGGAAAAUAUAUUUAACUCGUUUUUCUAAUGGUCAAUUAAAUUAUAAUUUAAUUGUUAAAUAUUAUAAUUUUAUUCUAUACCCGUUUCUUAUUCUUUAAAGGAUAAAUAUUUCAUGGAUGAACAAUUUGGGUCCUCACACAAUUUAAUUAUUUAUAAAAACAAAUUUCAAAAUCCUAAAACUUCUUGAAAUUAUUAAUUGUUUUUAUAAUAAAUUCCCACGAAUAAUUGAUAGUGUAAAAGAAAUUAUGAAAUGAGAGGUUAAGAAUAGGAGUAGUUGUUUUCCAAGAAAUUGAGCAACGAUCCAAACAGCUGAAAAUUAAUGUACAUUUUGACUUUUUGUAUUUGGUUUGUUUUGUAUGUUUUAUUUUAUUUGGAUCUGUUAGUUAAUAGUUAGUAAAAGAUUUAAGUAAAGCCUUUAAAUUAUAUAAUUCUUUUUAAAUUAAAUAUGAUUGAAUUAAAUACCUAAAUUAUAAAUUCAUAAUUAUUAUGAAUUUAAUUAUUAAAAAUAUAUGUAAAUAUAUCGAAUUAAGAAUAUUAAAUAUACAUUAAUUAUUUAUUAUAUUACAAGUGUAGAUAUAAAAUUUUGAGUAUUAUCAAUUCAUUAUCAAUAAAUGAUUCCACAAUAUAUUUUGCAUGUACAAUUCAACUCAACACUUAAUUAUUGUUGAAGCAUCCUAAAAAGUAAAUAUCAUAAAUAAGUUUGGAUUUAUAUGGACAAAAUAUUACAAAAUAUAAUGUUAGAGUUAAAAAAAAAGAAGAAGCUUACUUCAUUAUAUCACAAAAUAUUAUAGAAUAUAAUACACCUGAUUAUCUCUAUAAUAAUUUUAUAUCUAAAAUUUUGCGUUUACAAAAGAGUAAUAUACUUAUAACAUGUUGUUAUAAAUAUAUAAUUGUAGUAAACUUAUAAUAUAAUUUUGAAUUUUCACCAAACGAAGAAAGUGAAAAUUAAAUCAACAAAAUUAAAAAAAAAAGUGUAAAACAUAUGCAUGCAUUAUUGUUUAUGUAUAUUUUUAUUUUAUAUGCUUUUAUAUGGUUAAUUAUAAAUUUUAUAAAUGUAACAAAUUUAAUUAAUCAGUAUGAGUUACCAAAAUAAAUUAAUUAGUGAAUAAUAUUUUAAUUAAUAUCAUUUUAUUUAAUCUACUAUAAUCAAUCGAUUUGCUUAUAUGAAAUAAUUAUAUGUUUACUUAAAAUUUUAGAUAAUAUAUUGUUAUAGAAAUAUAAUUUAACAAAGAAAGUACUUCACAAAUCACAACUAUGACUGUUGUUAUUAUAAGUAAAAAACUAUUAUGAAUAAUUAAAAUAAAACAUAAAAAUUUGACAAUUAAUCUAAAAUGUUAUUAUAAUAAGUGGUUCUUAUAAAGAAGACAAAUUAUAUUACAAUCAAAAGAGCUUAGUAAAUUUAAGCAUAUUACAAAAUAUAAAUUGUAAAUGAUAAAUGGUGGAUGACUGCAAUUAAAAUGUACCGGUCUUUGAGUGCCAUGCAUGCCUUUUAGUUCAAGUAGUUAAUUCAUAGUUAGAUUGUUCUAAUUCGUAAUUUUUAAGAUAAUAGUUUGAUUCUUAUUAUAAUUUUUAAUCUAUUUAUAUUGUGAUAACUUAAAGUUUCAUUAAGUAAUUAUUUAGACAUGUAUUUAUAAUUUAUAUAAAUAAUAAAUUGUUAAUGCUUUAUUUUUCAUAAAUAAAUAAAAUAAUUCUUUUUGGAUGAUGGGCUCUAACUCUUAACACGAAGAAACGACAAAUUCCAACAUUUCACGAUGAAGUGACAACGACUGCCAACGAAAGCGCCUCCGACUUUACCUUUUAAAGGAGUGGAUAUAUAUUCAGUUGAUUUUGAUUAUGACAUCAUUUUUUCUUGGGCAAGUUUUAUUUAUUUGACUUUUUUUUUUUUUAAAUCUGGGCAAAUCCCACCGCUGGUUAUCAGUCAGUAGUAGUUUCAGCAGUGGCUCUCAGAAAAUGGGUCAGCAAACCCAAACUACACCAACAAAAAAACCACACCAAACGUUAGUUUUUGCUGUUAAUGGAGAGCGAUUUGAGCUCUCUGAACUUGACCCUUCCACUACUUUGCUUGAGUUCUUGCGUUCUCAGACUUCUUUCAAGAGUGUCAAGCUUGGUUGUGGUGAAGGUCUCUCUUUCUCCUUUGAUUCCUUUAUGGAAGUAAUCUUUUUUCCUAUCCUUUUUUUGUGGAAUGUUUAUAGAUUCUGGAAUGUAGGAUUGAUUUUGAUUAAUUCUCUCAAGUGGGUUAAGUGAAUUUACUUUAUUAUGGAUGGAUGGAUGGAUCUGAAGUUCUCAAACAUGUUAUUGCCUAUAGACUCGUGUGUAUUUCAAUACGAUAGUUGUACUUCGGUGACUUUUUCUUUGAUGGGUACUAGGAUUUUCUUCUUCCGAAUGUAAAAGUUUGUUUCUUUUGCAGGUAUUCGGAUUCUAUGCAUAAAUUGUGUAUGUGAAGUUUGAUUUUUUAUUUUAUUUUUGCAUUCAGUAUAUGUUGUUAGACAGUUCUAUUAAAUUCGAAAUAUCUGCCGAACAGUAGUUCCUAUGUAAAUUCAAUAAUUAUUGUAAGUACUAAAUUUUCUGCUUUAUCAAACAAAGCCUAUUGUCAACAGAAGCAAGUUACACGUCUUUUUUUGUAUUGGUUGUCUGUUCAUUUAGUCUAAUCAUAUAUGUGUUUGUAUUUGAACCACACACGAUAGCUUAUUAGAAAAAUCUUAAAAGUAUUUCAGAUAAUUAAACUUUUUAAUAGGUGGCAUAAUGUAUUUCACUUGUCAAUGUAUAGAUUGUACACCAAAAGUGAAUCAAAUAUGAAUCCAUGUUUUAGUUAAUUAAUUUAUUUCUAUUUUACAAGGCAGAGGAACUACAAGUAAUUGCUGUUUUGAAUCAUACAUUGCUGUUUUAAUUAAUUAAUUAAUUUUUCUGUGUGUGUGGGAAUUGAAUUUGCUUAUGAAUCAAAAUAGUAUGGUUUAUGUAUUUUUAAAGUUUUUGGUAUGACAGGAGGCUGUGGCGCCUGUCUUGUCCUUCUCUCCAAGUAUGACCCUGUGCAGGACAAGGUUGAUGAUUUUACUGUGAGUUCAUGCCUUACACUACUUUGCAGUGUAAAUGGGUGUUCGAUUACAACAGCAGAGGGAGUCGGAAAUAGCAAGGAUGGGUUCCACCCUAUUCAGGAAAGGUUUUCCGGUUUCCAUGCUUCUCAAUGUGGUUAUUGUACUCCUGGAAUGUGUGUGUCUCUAUAUUCAGCACUCAUUAAUGCUGAUAAAACCGAUAGAACAGGAUUACAUCCUGGAUUCUCCAAGCUAACAGUUUCAGAAGCAGAAAAGUCUAUUGCUGGAAAUCUUUGUCGCUGUACUGGUUACCGACCCCUUGUAGAUGCCUGUAAAAGUUUUGCUGCUGAUGUGGAUAUGGAGGAUUUGGGAUUUAACUCCUUUUGGAAAAAAGGAGAAAGUGAAGACAUAAAGCUGAGUAGAUUACCUCCAUACAAUUGUAACAACGCAACUCGUGUGUUUCCGGAGUUUCUGAAGACGGUGAUUAAGGCAGGUUUCAAUCUGGAAUCUGAAGGGUGUUGUUGGUAUAGUCCUGGAAGUCUUGUGCAGCUCCAAAGCUUGUUGCAAACUGAUGAGGUGAAUGAUGGAACCUCAAUGAAGAUCGUUGUUGGUAACACAGGAAUGGGUUAUUAUAAGGAACUAGGACAUCAUAACAAGUACAUUGAUUUGAGAUAUAUUCCAGAGCUUUCAAUCAUUAGUAAAGACCAGACAGGAAUUAAAAUUGGAGCAUCUGUGACAAUUUCCAAAGCUAUUGAAGCUUUGAAGGAUGAAAAUGACAGUGGAAUUAAUCAUGAAGGUAAGCUGGUUUUCGAAAAGCUUGCUGACCAUAUGGAACGAGUUGCAACAGGGUUCGUAAGGAAUUCAGCUAGUAUGGGAGGAAACCUGAUAAUGGCUCAGAGGAAACAUUUUCCAUCAGAUAUUUCUACAAUACUGCUUUCUGUGGAUACAAUGGUUGAUAUAUUGACUGGUCACAGACAUGAAACUAUAACACUGGAGGAGUUCCUUGGGAGGCCUCCAUUAGUUUCCAACAGUGUUCUUUUAGGCAUUAAAAUUCCAUGCUGGAAGUCAAGGAGGGAUAUUUCUUCUAAAACAUACACCAAAUUGCUAUAUGAGACAUAUCGAGCUGCACCACGCCCUAUUGGAAAUGCACUUCCCUAUUUAAAUGCUGCUUUCUUGGCUGAGAUUUCUCUUUGUAAAAAGUCUGCUGGGAUUGUGCUAAAUAACUGCCGGUUGGCUUUUGGUGCUUAUGGAACAAAACAUUCAAUUAGAGCAAGGAAUGUCGAGGAAUUUCUAUCUGCUAAGUUGCUAAAUUUUGGCGUUAUAUACGAGGCUAUUAAACUACUUGAAAGUACCAUAAUACCUGAAGAAGGCACCAGCAGUCCAGCUUACAGGACCAGCUUGGCUGUUGGCUUUCUCUUUGAGUUCCUAAGCCCCUUAAUGAACAGCUACACAGAUAUUUCUAAAUUGUGGUUUGAUGAAUAUAAUAGUGAUUUGCUGUCCAAUGGUUCCAAAAUAAAACAGAACUGUGACCAGUUCAAUCAAAUAAAAUCCCCAGCUUUGUUAUCAUCUGCAAAGCAGGUGAUUCAGUUAAAUAAAGAUUAUCAUCCGGUUGGAGAGCCACUUACAAAAGUUGGAGCUGUCAUCCAAGCUUCUGGUUUGUCAUUACUCAUUUCUUAUUAUUUGAUCCAGCUGCCAUAAGUUCACUAUUACCUACAUUUUAGGCUCCCUUUGUUUGUUUUUUUUUCUUUUACUUGCUCCAUUGCUUUAUUUUUAUUCAACAUGGUUAUAAAACAAAAUAAAAUAUCCAAAUAAAAAUAUAUAUGAUAAAAACUGGUUAAAAAAAUUGCUCAAAUGGCUAAUUCUGCAUAGAAGCAAAAUCAUGCAUUUUACUGCCACUGAAGUUAAAUUUUUGCUUUUUAAUUCUUGAAAGAUAUUUUCACUUUGCUUCCAAAAGUAAGAAUCAAGUUACAAAAAUAAUAACCAGCCUCUACUAAUAUGAUUGAUGCUUUCCUGCUAUUCCCUAGUAGCUUGACUCCUGGAGGUAAUUAAUUAGUUGGAACAUUCUAGUGCUAGUGCAUAUACACUUUUGCUUCUACUAUUGCCAGCUGAAACUUCAAAUUUGUAGAGCUUAAUUGUGGUAAUGCCUUAUAAAUUAAAAAUGUUAAACAUAAAUGCUUAUUUGGAUAAAGUUGACUUCUCAUUUUCUUGAAUCAAAAGUACUGUUGAUUAGAUGUCUUUGACGUUUUCCCUGUGAAAGGCACUAAUGUAUUAGCUUUCAUAUACAAAGUUUCAUUUACCUUCUGAAUGCAUUUUGCAACUUUUCUAUGUUGCUUUAUCUACUGUAUUUUGUAGGUGAGGCUGUUUAUGUGGAUGACAUUCCAUCUCCGAGAAACUGCCUGCAUGGAGCAUUUAUUUAUAGCACAGAGCCUUUGGCACGGGUGCAGGGCAUAAAAUUUAAGCCUGGAUCAUCACCCCAUGGAGUCUCCACGGUUAUCUCUUUCAAAGAUAUUCCUGGGGAGAAUAUAGGGGCUCAGACCAUGGUUCUGAAUCUUUAUAUGCAGAUGAGCUUACUCAAUGUGCUGGUCAGCGCAUUGCAUUGGUGGUAAUUCCAUGGUUUCCUUUUUGUUGGUUGGCCACUUAUGGCCUCUGUUUUUGUUUUUUGUCUAAUAUUCACUAAUAUCGAGCACAAUGGAAUUGUAAUAACAUUCCCUACAAGGCUUUUUGUGUGUAAUAUCAUAAACAAAAUGACAUUCUUAAAAUUGAACAUAUAAAUGACUACUAUUUCAGGUUGCAGAUACACAGAAAAAUGCAGACAUGGCAGCCAACCUUGCAGUGGUUGAUUAUGACAAGAAGAAUUUGGAACCAAUAUUAUCUGUAGAAGAGGCUUUUGAGAAAUGUAGCUUUUACAAGGUCCCUCAUUUACUUAACCCCGAACCAGUUGGUGCUUUUUCAAAAGGAAUGGCCGAAUCUGACCAUCAAAUUCUAUCUGCUGAGGUGAUUAUCAUACUUCACUGUUGCUUAUCUCUUACGUUAACCGGAUUCAGGUGUGAGUUUCAGAUAUGGGUAUGUGUCUGAUACGGGUAUUGCUAGAUUUUUCCAAGUUUUUCUAUAUAUUUGAAGGAUCUUUGGAGGUCAUAUUCCCAUAUCCAUGUGUCAGACACUCAUACUUCAAUAAAAAUAAAGGGUCAGUGUAACAUAGCUUCUUUCUGUCUCUCUUUCUCUCCAAUUCAUUCUUCAGUUCCUCAACCUCCCUGUUCUUUCUCUGUGUCUGAAUAUUUUACUGUAUGACCCAUUUUUCACUUUUUUCCCCUUUGAAACAUAACCAUGACAAUUCGUUUAGGGUCAUUUCUUUUAGUCCCUGUUGUUAACUUGGAUCAAGAGAAGUUGCCAAACUACUUAUUUUAUUUUAUUUUUUAUGUCUAGCUCAAACUUGGGUCACAAUACUAUUUCUAUAUGGAGAUGCAAGCCGCUCUUGCUGUGCCAGAUGAGGACAACUGCAUUGUAGUAUACAGUUCUUGUCAAUGCCCUGAGUUUGUGCAUGAUACGAUAGCUAAAUGCCUGGGUGUACCUAGUCACAAUGUUCGUGUGAUUACAAGAAGAGUUGGAGGAGGAUUUGGUGGAAAGGCUAUAAAAGCAAUCCCUGUGAGUUUCGUUCUUCCUCAAAAUGAUUAUUUUAAAAAUGUGGACAAGAAUAACAGUCUCAAAUGAAUAUUACUAUUUACUAAUAUCAUAUUAUUUUUGGCCUAGAGAUUUGUUUAGUAUAACCAAAUGAUUAUAAUCCAUGUGGUUGAUUUUGCUUCCAUCUUUAUCUUAUACUUGUUUAGUGUAGUAGUACAAAAUUAUAUAAAUUGAAGGAAACAACAUUGCGUAGGAUGUGAAAGGUAGAAUAAGCAUAUAGUUGAGGUUUAUCAACUUUGUAGACUAUCUUUGCGAUGCAUAUUGAAGUGAUUCUUGAUCCUCUCCCAUGCCUAACAUUCCUCUUAGUCAAAAACUUAAAAAGUAAUCUGCUCUUGCUUGUGCUUUUUUAUUGCUUAAAUUAAUUAUAGACCUUUUACAUUGCUACCGACUGCUUACAAUGUGAUGUUAUAGGUUGCUACGGCAUGUGCACUUGCUGCUUACAAACUAAACUGUCCAGUCAGGAUGUAUGUAAACCGCAAGACUGAUAUGAUAAUGGCAGGAGGAAGGCAUCCAAUGAAAAUAACUUACAGUGUAGGAUUCAAAUCUAAUGGGAAGAUUACGGCCCUAAAACUCGAUAUAUUAGUUGAUGCAGGGAUGUCAGCCGACAUAAGUCCAGUUAUGCCACAUAACAUAAUUGGUUCACUUAAAAAAUACGACUGGGGUGCCUUAGCUUUUGAUAUAAAGGUAUGCAAAACAAACCUUCCAAGUAGAUCAGCAAUGAGGGCCCCUGGGGAGGUACAAGCAUCAUUUAUUGCUGAAGCUAUAAUAGAACAUGUGGCAUCCUCCCUUGCCCUGGAAGUUGAUUCUGUCCGAAAUAUUAAUCUCCACAAGUUUGAAACGCUUAAAUUAUUUUUCAAGACCUGUGCUGGUGAACCAUUGGAAUAUACUUUACCUUCUAUAUGGGAUAAGUUAGCCAUUUCUUCAAACUUUUACCAUAGGACUGAAAUGUUAAAAGAGUUUAAUAGGUGUAAUAAAUGGCGGAAAAGGGGAAUUUCUCGAAUACCUAUUGUGCACCCAGUAAUCUUAAGAGCAACCCCAGGGAAAGUAAGCAUUCUACGUGAUGGAUCUAUUGUUGUUGAAGUUGGAGGAAUUGAGCUCGGUCAGGGUCUUUGGACAAAGGUAAAACAGAUGACUGCAUAUGCUCUCAGCUUGAUCCAAUGUGCUGGAAAUGAAGAACUUUUAGAGAAGGUGAGGGUCAUACAAGCUGAUACCUUGAGUUUAAUUCAAGGCGGUUUUACUUCUGGCAGCACGACAUCUGAAUCAAGCUGUGAAGCUGUUGGACUUUGCUGCAAUAUCUUGGUUGAGAGACUUACUGCUCUAAAGGAGAAGUUGGAGGAGCAAAUGGGACCUGUAAAAUGGGAGACACUGAUUCUUCAGGUAGUGAUCUUCUUUUGCAUGUACUAGAUCACCUCAUAAUAAUGGGAUUGACAUUUAUAUGGCCCAUCUUUUUUGUUCUACCUUUUAAGUACCUGAUCUUACAUAAUUAUCUGUUUAUGACAGUAGAUUGCUCAAUAUAAAAUUAUAUUCUUGAUGAGAUAUAGAUGAGCAAUGCAGUUUCACACUUUUAAUCUACCACAUGCAGGCAUAUAUGAUUUCCGUGAACUUGUCUGCAAAUUCAUUAUAUGUACCGGACUUUUCUUCCAUGCAAUACCUAAACUAUGGUGCUGCAGUGAGUGAGGCAAGUAAAUCAGUGGGCUCUAUUCAGCUCAGCUGUCUUGCAUUGCGGUCUUUGUUGAAGUGAAUCUUCAAUUAAAUACAAUAGCUGUUUUCGAAAACUAACAUUAUAGUUGCUAAUACUGUGGCAUUACAGGUAGAGAUAAACCUUUUAACUGGUCAAACCACAAUAUUGCAGACAGAUAUCAUAUAUGAUUGUGGCCAAAGCUUAAACCCCGCCGUGGAUUUAGGACAGGUUGGCCCAAAUCUAAUCCUUUUUCAUUACUUAAAUUUAAAAUAUUUGUUCUUUAACCUUUACUAAUUUGCAAUGUUUUCUAAACUGGACCAGUGGUCGAACUGGUCAGGCCAUCAGUUGACUGGUCUGACUGGUCCAAUUUAAAAACCCAGUUUGACCGCCGAUUCAACUAGUUUUUAGCUAGUUCUACCGGUUCCCAGUCUAACUGGUUCAAAAGCACCUUCCGCACCGGUACUCCGGCCAGUUCCCAUUCCAACCGGUCCAACUGGCCGGUCCGGUUCAAAUAACAUUGCUAAUUUGUCCUCAUUUUUAAGUUUUUACAUUUCUAGCAUGCUUAAAUUCAUUGCUCUACAGUAGUCAUUGGUUAUCUAAGUAUUUUCUGUCUUGAUAUUCAGCAGUUGAGAUAGGGAAUGGGAUCUAAGAUGAUACUAAAUUCAAGUUAACGAUUUUCUCUUAUUCAGAUUGAAGGGGCUUUUGUUCAAGGAAUAGGGUUCUUUAUGCUUGAAGAAUACCCCACAAACUCGAAAGGAUUAGUGGUUGCAGAAGGCACUUGGUCAUAUAAGAUCCCCACGGUGGAUACUGUACCUAAAAAGUUUAAUGUUGAAAUCCUGAACAGUGGACAUCAUAAAGACCGUGUACUUUCAUCAAAAGCCAAGUUCAGAUCCUUAUUGAACCUAGUUUUUUUGUUUCUGCAUGAAUGCUAAUCUCAUCAUCAUUCAUUUUUUGUGCACUCACAUAUUCGUCGAUUAGGGCAUUUCUCUUUAUUUCAUACAAAUUUGAAUCAAAAACUAUUAACAAAGUUGAGAAGCUAAACCAUUUCAGUCUAAGCAUAGACACUCGACUUUUAGUACGAGGAACAUUGAUCUGAAAUUUGAAUUCCUAGAACUCCUUAUAAUAUUCGAUUAUGGAAGAAAUGCAUACCUUGAAGAAACUGCUUCGUAGUCAGCAAAUACUAGUUGAAAGUGCAGGCCAUUGACAAAAAGGCUAACAUAGGGUGGUUGUUGUCACGGACUAGAUAAUUCUCCGCUUUGUUGUUCUCCAUCUAUAUUCUGUAGUAGGUAGUACCGUAGUCGGUACUUGAGGUGAUCAAGCUACUGCCUUUUAGUGUUUUAGUUCAUGCACUGGACACGGAAUAAGAUCACGAAGUUAUGUGACUGGUAAACGUGAAUACUUAUCAUUGACUUCUACCAUCUGUGCCUUUGCAGCUUCCGGAGAGCCGCCACUAAAACUAGCGGCUUCCGUUCACUGUGCUAUAAGAGCAGCCAUAAAAGAAGCCAGGCAUCAACUUCAUUCAUGGGGUGGCCUGGAUGAGUCUUAUUCGACGUUUCAAUUGCAGGUACCUGCCACCAUGCCGGUGGUGAAGGAGCUCUGCGGGCUUGAAAAUGUCCAGAGGUUCUUACAGUGGACAAUAGGCAGCAAGCAACUGCAUUCCGCAGGCGGAACAGUUUAGGUUCUACUUCAGUUUCUUCACACGAAACUACAGCAAGUAAGUUAGACAUAAACUUCCAUUUCUAGAAGGCAUUUCAUCCGUAUUAGGAAACAUGUAAUCGCUGUUAAUUAAAAGAUCGAGAUGUAAUUCAAAAUAAAAUCAUAGUUUCACAUGUACAAUAGCAUUAAACUGAAGUUCGCCUAUUACAUUGUAAUUUUAAGAUUUAUUCUUAAAUUUUAAUAACAAAAUUCAGGUAAAAAAAUUUAACCAGUUUUCUUUUUCUUUUUUUUUUCUUGCAAUAUUGAUGAUGCCUGCAAAAGCGUUGUCUAAGAUAAUGACAUGGAUGGUUUAAUUCUUUGGGGGGGGGGGGGGGAAGAAGAAAGGGAUGAAGUAAAGCUGAGUAGAAAGUGAGUCACGAGUUUAACUAUUUUUGGUUUAUGAAACUCUCAUAAAGUUUUGGAUUCGAAUUUUAGCUUUAGCAUUUAUAUUUCUGUUUCAAGUUCAAUAUAUAUAGAAAAAAAACAAAGUGUUUGGUUCAGACGGAGAUGCCACGGGACAACCAAAUCUCAGUUGUUUAGCUUUGGUAAUGGUCCAGAGGAAACAUCAUACUACCUCAACUAUCAUUGUGGACAUAACGACUAGAUUAUCGCUUAUUCGGAACAGGUAAAUAAAUUUUAAUUUUAAUAUUAUAAAACAAUGAAAUUACAGUUUUUUUUUAAAUUAUAAUCAAUAUUAUUGUUACAUUUUUAUUUAAAUAAAGAUAAAACAAUUAAAAUUAUAAAUCAAAUAAUUGAAUAUGUGUUUAAUAACAUUAAAAUAUAAAAUUGUUAUUAUUUCACCGACAAUUAUUAUUAAAUAAUUUUUUAAAAUACUUUAAGAGAUUUUUUUUUUCACCCACACGUGACAAAAUUUAGUUUUAAUUAUAUUCUUUAUAUUUUUCGAUUUAUUUCUUUUCUAUCUGUUUAUUUUAUUUUGGUUGUUACCAACUUAAGGAUACCGUAAAGGUUUUUUUUUUUCAUAGGAUAUCAUGAACUGAGGAGGUGAUAGUCAAUUAAAAAAAAUUCAAUUGUUAGUGUAAAAUAUCCAUUUUCACAAAAUCAAAAUGUAAAAAAAUUUAUUAUACCGAAUAUUUCAAAACUUAAAUUAAAUUAAAUUAAAUUAAUAGAAUUAUAUGUAUCAAUAGAAAUAUAAACUACCACGUACAACAUUUUCCUUUUUUAUAGAAAGUUUCAGUUAUUUUUUUAAAUAUUAAUUUUAUCACUGGUUUUUAUUAUAUAUUUUUUAUACAAUAUCUAAAAUUAUCCACAACUUCCCCAACCCUUAAAUAAGAAGAUAAUGUGUUUUAACGCACUCGAACCAACAACCUCCUAGGUAAUAAUGUCAAUAUCAAUCGAGCUAAAACUCAAUCGACAAAAUUGUAGUAAAUUAUCUAUAAUAAUUUAAGGUAAUAAAAAAUAAUCAUAUUAUUAAAACUUAUUUUUUUAUAUACUUAUAUUUAAAAGAGAAAAAUAAUAUAAUUAUAAAUUUAAUAAGUUUUUUAUAUAAAGAGAAAUAAAUCAAAUCAAUUAAUAUUUAGAAAGAUUUAAUUUAUUAAAUUAAAUGCAAAAAACUUAAUCAUAUCAAAUCACAUUAAAAAUUUAUGACAAUAGAUGUAAUAUCUUAUUACCGCAAUUAAGAAAAGAUAAGUUAAUUAAUUAAAAAAAAGAUAAGUCAAAUGGAAAAUAUAAAAGGAAAUAAAUUUAUAAUAAGAAAUAUUUCUUCAUUUAAAUCAAAUCAAUUAAUAUUUAGAGAAAUUUAGAUUAUUAAAAUAAAUGCAAAAUAUUUAAUUAUAAUAAAAUCAUAUUAAAAAAUCAUGAGAAUAAAAUUAAUAUCUUAUUAACUCAAAGAUGACUCAAAUUAAAAAUAUAAAAGGAAAUAAAUUUAUUAUAAAUAUCUAUUUUCAAGAAUAUAAAGUAUUCGGGAUAUUUUCCUUUUCUAGGUUAGCUUUGGAAAGUAAUUAUUAUCAUAAAUGGAAAACAAAAAUCGAGAAAAAAAAAACCAUUGUAAUAAAAGUUGUAUCGAGAAGAAAAACUGAGGAAACAAAAAUCCAGAAAAUUAAAAUCCUAAUUCCUUCUUAAACCAGAUUUUUUUUAAAAUUUAUUUUCCUUUCAAACCUUUAACAAAAAUUGCUGUAAGAAAAAGAAGAUGAAUCCGCAGAAUCAAAAUAACAAUAACCUCACAAAUGAGUGGAGUCCUCUCGAGAAUAAGCUCUUUGAGCAUGCCUUCCUUGUCUUUCCGGAAGAAACCUCUGAUCGGUGGCAGAAGAUCGCUGACCGUAUUUCUGGAAAGUCAGCCAAAGAAGUGGAAGAGCAUUUUGAUAUGCUUUUGCAUGACGUUUACGAAAUUGAGGCAGGUCGAAUUGAAAUUCCAAGAUAUGCUGACGAUUCGUCUAUGUUAUCGUCAACUUGGAAUUCCAACAAUCAAAUAUAUUUCACUUCGAAAUCUAAACAUCAACUAGACAAUGAGAGAAAGGAAGGAAGUCCUUGGACAGAAGAGGAGCACAAGUAUGUUAACUCUUUCUUUUUAACUUAUUUAGAGUUGAAUUCUUUUUUUAAUCGAUUCUAAAAUCUGGAAAAUAAUUUUAUCAUCGAUUGUUUGAAUAGGUAAAUAUUAUAUGUGUCUUUUAAGUGCAUUAUAUUGAAUUUAGUCAGUUUUGAGAUUGUCAAAAAAAAUUUUAUCUAAAUUAUGUUGUUAAAGGAUUUAAUUAAUUUCAUACUAAACAAUGAAAAAAAAUAUAUAUAUAUUUUUAUGCUACUUGUUUUUCUUUGUUGAACUGAAAGAAUGAUUACUUUGUUAAGCUCAUUUUCACUGAUAUGGCAAACAGGUUAAAUCUUCAAAAAUAUUUUCUUAAACAGAGUUCGAGAAAAAAAAUGAGCAUCCAUCCAUAACAAUAAAAUAGUUGAUAGUACGGUGGACGCACCCAUCAAGCAACAUUGGGUUAACGUGUCAAGUCCACGAGCAUCUCCACUACAAGAAUUCUCUCCUCUGAACCAAUUACCUUCGGGUGAAGGAAUCUUAAAGUAUCAAAAUAUAUACAAAAUAUAUAGAACUGUGGAGACUCAACUUUGAUUAUGGUUGGAUUAUUAUAUUAGUGAAUUAAUAAUAAAUUUAAUGAUGUAAAUAAUGUUAUAAAUAAAAUUAUCAUCAUAAUAUAAUUAAAUUAUAUGAUUGUCUGAUUUAUUCUACUAAUCAAUUUGCAUCAUUCAUACACCAUUAUUGCAUUUAAAUUUCAUUUAAUAAAGUUUGGCAGCCGUUUAAAAGAAGGCAUAAUGAUUAAGUCCUUAACAUUUUCAAUUGUUUCUUCUAAUUCUUUUUUCAAUUAAAUUUGAAUCUUAACUUUUUUUAAAAUAGUUAAAUUUUAUUAUCAACUUUUCAAAAUAAAUUGAAUUGUUUUUAAUAAAAUAUAGACUAAAACAUUGUAUUUUUAAACAAGAAACUCAUAUGAUUAUCUAUAUGUAUUUUAUGUUAAUUUUUUUAAAUUUAAACUUUUAGUUUUUUUGAAUAUUUUUAUACUUUUUAAAUUAUUUAUUGUCAUAGCAUGGCAUAUAAGAUAAAUGAUAUCAUGUCAAUAUGAAGUACACGUGGGUAACCAAACCUAUAUCUAUAAAGAAAUUUUAAUUUUUUAGUUAGUAUUUUUGUUUUAGAAAAAAAAAUUAACUCUUUAAAAUAUUAAUGAUAAAAUUUAAUUUUUAAAAAUAAAUGUAACCAAUGAUGUUUCAAUCUAACUGAACUAGUCGGUCAAGCCAAUUGGAUCCAUAAUUGGUUAGUACAUCAAUCUGGAGAACUCUAAAAACCCAUUUGAACCCUAAAUUGGUAAAAGACCGUGAACCAGCAACCAGAAAAACUGAUAAAAAAUCAAUUGAACUGGUAUUAAUAUUUUUGGGCUAGGUUAGCUUGGGCCAAACCCGAAACAAGCCCACUGUUUAUUUUAUCCGGCCUAAUUUUUUUCAACCGAAAAGAAAAAAAUGAAGAAAAAUAUUUUUUUUUUAAAAACCCAGCCUAACCUAACUCUAUAACCUACCCAAAACCAAAAAAUUCCCUCUCUCAGUCAAGCCUCACUCAGUCAUUCACCCAAAAAGAAAUAAAAUGAAAAAAACAAUAACAAAAACAACCCCCACUCAGGUAUACCCUACACAAAGUCAAAAAAUGAAAGAAGAAAAAGACCAUAACGAGUUUUUUAAUAAAAAUAAAAGAAAAUUAAUUAAUUAUGAAAAUACGUCAUUAUCUUCAAUAAAGUUGAGUGUCACUUUGACUAGAUGGGAGCACCAUUAUUUUCUUCCCCAAUCAUCAUUCAAGUUUUAAAAAAAUUACUUUUUAUUAGUGUAGUUUGAUACAUUGACAGCACUAAAUUAAAAUGUUCAAAGGUUUAAUAUGAAAAUUUUCCUUUUAGAUUGGCUACUGUAAAAAAAACUUAAGAGGGUGUUGCUUGAGGUUGUAGCGACACCAAAUAUAUUUUACGAGACAACUACUUCAUAAACACUUCUUUGUUUAUAAUUUUCUUUCUAAGGUACUUCCUCUAUCUUUCUCCCAUAUAUCUUUUUUUUCCCUUUCUCCAUCCCAUUUAAGAAGACAAUAGCCACCUAUAAAACAAGUAUCCGUCAUAGACUUUCCCUUUUUUUUUUGUUUUCUUUUUUUUUCUAUUUCAAUGGUUUUCUAUUCAUUUUUUUUUCUUCUAUUUCGCUUUUCUUUUUUGAAAAUUCUUACAGGUGCUACUUGAUGCAUUGACAGCACUAAAAUUUAUUUUUUAAUUUACUGAUCUGACAGAUUAGUGACAAUUAUUAAAAAAUAUUUUUUCUCUCUUAAAUAUAUUUAUUUUUAACAGAUAUUUAAAAAAAAGGCCACACUCAAAAAAUUAUUUAAAAAAAAAAAACCUGAUGAUUGGGUCAGUGCAAAGGGAUAUCAAUAAACACUAUAAAAAACAGGUAUAUUUUCAUAAAUAAAUAAUUGUUUUAUGUCAAUUUGGGUAAAAAGAGCUACCGUCCAAAGAGUAGGGAGAAGAUAGAAUGCUUUUGGCGUAUCUGGUAGAACUUUUUUUUCUCUUUCAUUAUUUUGUUGCCAACUUUGCCUUGUGUAUGUUUGUUGUAAUGCUCAACUCCCCCUAUCCCUAUUUUUUUACCAUUUUUCUCUUAAAAAAGUAUUCUCUCAAGACAAUGGAUGCUAGGCUAUUUUUUUCCCUUCAUCUAUUCUUGAUUUUUUUUAGAAUUUUAAUUAAUUUAAUAUUUAGAUUGAAUCUUAAAUUAAUAAUCUAUCAAUUUGAUUAUUUAUUUAAUUUUGAAAAAUAAUAGGGAGAACGGAAUUUAUCAUUAUUUCUUUAAAAAAUUUAAAAUAAAAUUCAAAUACUUUAAAUGCUUUAUUGAAACUAUUAAAGGAGUGGCCAAAAUAAAUUUCAACUAAAAUUAUAUAUUGUGAGAUUGAUUUCAAAUGAAAUGUCAAAGUUCACUUAAUGUGUGUUUUUUUAUUAAGCAAAAGUCUUAUUUUUAUAAAUUAACUUGGAAAAAAAAUCAAAUGAUACCAUCAGAUACUAAAAUUAGAUAAUAAAAAUUUGACUUAAAAAUAACUAAAAUACAACAAUAACAUGCGAAUGUCUCAAUUUUUUUUUAAUAUAGAUUGUUAAUAUGAAAUUUUAUUUGAUAUAUCAUCAUGGUUGAAGUUUUUUUAGAUUUUACAAAUGGAUUGAGGGUUGAAUAAGUGUAUAAUAAGAUAUAAUAAUAAAUUAAUCAUAUAAAUAAAUUUGACAUUUAUCAUAACUUCAAUCCGCUUGUGAAAUAUAAAAAACUUCAUUGACUGUGUAUAAAAUAAUCAUCCUUAUUAAUAUAUCGAAUUUUAAAAAAAUAUAAAAUAUUUAAAAUUUUAAAAAAAUAUAAAAUAUUUUAAACAUUAUAAAAAUUAAAAAUAGGCAAAUACAACAAAUAUACAUAUUACCAAAUAUAAAUAUGUGAAAUUAUGGUUUUGCCCCAAACAUGUUUUAGUAAACCUUUCUUGAAUCCUCGCAACACUAAGGCCCAUCCGGCUCUACUUGUCUGAUGGGCUUUUGCCAAAAAAGUAUUUUUUUGUUAAAAGCAUUAAAGAACAGUCCUCAUUUUUGCCACUCUUUCAACUUAAAAUAAGCAUUUUUUUAUAGAUGAAAAAGCAACAAUUUUGCCACUUUUUCUCAUCCAAAAGUGCUUUUGGCCUUAUAUUAUUUUUUUUAAUCCUCUUUUUUCUUCUUUCCAAAUAGACAGCAGACCUCUUUUUUUUUUCAUUUCUCUUUUGUUUACUUUUCCUCUGGUUAUAUACGUUCCUCUUCAAACAGGUGAGUCUCUCUUUUCUUCUUCUUCUUCUUCUUUUGUGAAAUACUUCUUCUUCUCUUUAGUUAUUUUCUGAUUGUUUGAUUUUAUGAAAUAAAAAAAUUUCUUUCAAGGCAGAUUUUAUGGAAUACGAAGAUAUUAACAGGGCAUAUGAGAAUAUUAUUGAUUCAGAAAAUGCGUAUAGUCGAGAAAGUGAUAAUGAUGAUGACGACGAUGAUGAUGGUGAUGAUGACGGUGAAUUAAACAAUUCAAGUGUUUUGAAAUGGAAUUAACAAGAGAUGCUAUAGCUUCUAGUUUAAUUGAUUCACUUUAAAUUGUAAAUACUAUUGUAAAAUUUUUAGUAUUUAUAUUUGGUAUAUAAAUAUUAUCCCUUUUUGGAACUUUAAUCUAAAUAUAUGUAACAUACCUAAUAUGAGUUAUAUAUUCAAAUUACAUUUUAAAAUAAAAUAAUACAAAUGUGUGAAAAUUAUUUUUAAAAUAAUACUGUAAUACCUCAUACCCGUACUUGAGACCGGGAUAGGAUACGAGGCAUUACCGAGAUUUUCAGAAUAAUUUAAAUUAAUUUAUAUUAUUUAGUAUUCAUUUUCAUGUUUCAUGUAACAUCCUUUUCAUAUAUUCAAUUCAAAAUAUCAUAUAAAAUACGAUACAAUACUUAAAUUGUCAUGUUUACAUGCUCAUUCAGGAUAUACGAAUCUACCUGACUAAAUUGCAGAAAUACCAAGAUUUAGGGGCAUAUUGGUAAUUUACCAUUUUCCCGAAUUUCACCCAAUCUUAAAUUGAUAAUUUCAUUCAAUUUAUUAAUUCAGAUAAUAAAACAAUUCAUUCCCUUCAAUUUAGUCAUUUUUGAUAUUUUUACAAAAUUACCCCUAAAGUUUUACUUUUAUUCAAUUUAGUCCACGAGCUUAAAACAUGCAAAUUAGCCAUGCUAACUGAAUAUUCAUAUAUAUUUUUCCUCCUCCUCUCCAUUCCACAUUCUUAAUGUAUAUAACACACUUAUAAGUAACAUUAUCUAUAAUUUUUAUUAUUUACUUUUAUGGAUAUUCAAGCUGUCCAUCUGUGUCAUAGUCACUAAAUUAUUUAUAUCUGGAGUUAUAAAACUCCAAAUUAAGAUCCACUAAUUUUUCCUGAAACUAGACUCAUAUAUCUUCUCACCAUAAAAUUUUCAGAAUUUUUUCAUUUAGCCAAUAAGUACAGUUUAUUCUUUAAAGUUAUCCCUGUUCUGCUGCCUUAAAAUUAAUUAUCUCACAGUACAAAACUCGGAUUGUAACACCCCUAACCUGUAUCCGCUGCCAGAACAGGGUUUCAGAGCAUUACUACCAUUUGCAGAUCACUUAAAAAAAAUGAAAAUACUUACCGAUUCAAUACAUCAUAUAAAAUAAAUAUAUUACCAUUCAAUCAACAGUUUGGCAUUUGUAUAAGCAUCAAACAACAACAUUGUUAGUAUACUUGCACAUAUCCCAUAUAAAUUCAACAUUGAUAUAUCUAUUUUCUCGACAUGCCGCACUUGAGUUUAAUAAUAGUCUCAACUUACAUAAUUUCCUUGUAUCAACAUAUCAAAGAUAAUCAUAUAUGUACAUGUCAGGAAACAUAUCAUGCUCUUACCGUUUCUUCACAAGCAUAUAUCAUUCAUUUCAUUAUAUCAAUAUUUUAUGCUCCAUCAUUUCCAUAUAUUUUAUGUAUAUUUAUUCUGGUAAUAGCUUAUAUCAAACUUAACAUAAAUUAUAUUCCAUGUACUUAUACUUAUUUCGUUUAUCCAUUUUCAUAAUUAUUUCAUACAACGCUUUUGUACAUAUAUUUCCAUAUGACCAGUUCUUGUAAACAUUUCACACAACCAUUUCAUAUAACCAUUCGUCAUCUGAUACAUUUUACCUGAAUAUCAAUUGUUCAACAGAUGUUAUAGCGUCUUCCAUCCACGGUCUUAUUUAUCUUUGACGUGAUGCCAUAGUGUCUUUCAACUAUGGUCUUACUCAUUUUCUGUCAUGUUGCCAUGGUAUCUUUCAACCAUGGUCUUAUUCUUUUCAUGUCACGUUGCCAUGGUAUCUUUCAACCAUGGUCUUAUGUAACACCUCCUAACCCCAAACCGUUACCAGAACGAGGUUAUGAGGCAUUACCGGACAUAUCAGACAACUUACUAAUAAUUUACAAUUAAUAUAACUUUUAUGGUAUAAUAUAAUAAUUGAGUCCCUAUCUUGAACUCUCAAAGUUCAAGCACGUGUUAAAAGUAGAACGGAACUUGUUCGAAUAUUCUGAAUUUUUUUUUUAUAAAAAUUUCGGUCUGCUUAUUUUUACCUAAAACCUUCUGCAAAUUCAAACUAAAACAACCAGCACCAAUUUUUCACAUUCAUAUAACUAAUAUUUAUAUCAUUAACAUAAUUUCAACUUAAUAACUAUCAUAGCAUCAUUCAAAAUUGAUUAAAAACUUCAUUCAUUUAACAACUUAAUGUUCAUGUAUCAAAAUAUCAUAUACUUUUCUUACCAUUUCAUUUAACCAUCUAAAUCUUAUAAUUCAACCUUCACUACCCAAAGUAAUAUGCAUAUUCAAGUGACUAUAUAACACCUAUGUACAUGCCACCUUUACCCAAAAGAAAAAUAUACAUCACCAAAUUUGUGUUGGAGUCGGGAAUGUUCUGGAUGCUGAACCGGGACACUUGACUUCUACUAACCUGCGCACGGAAACAACCGUACGCUGACUAUGGAUAUACUCAGUGAUAUUACCAUAAUUCAAAUUAUAUCAACAAUAGUAAAAACAUAAAUAUUAAAAUACCUAACAAUUAAUGUCAUAUGUACUAAUUCAUAAAUCAAUGUAUUUUCUCAAACUUAAAUUUAUAUCACUUAUGAAUAUACAUUUCAUACUUUUCUCUUAUUAUCACAAUUCCAAUUUCAAUUCGUAAUUCAAUUUAUUUUUCUCGUUUCAAUGCCUCAAAUUCACAUUUCAAUUUUUCACCCUAUUAACGUAACUCGGACUUUGGCGGAUACACGGAUCCAACCAAACACACCAAUAUGGCACCCAGUGCCUCAUCGGAUAGUUCGAAGUAAUAGUUGACACCCAGUGUCUCAUCGGCCUAGCCGAAGUAAAGUUGGUACCCAGUACCUCAUCGAAUCUAUCCGAAGAAAUAUAGUGACACCCAGUGUCUCAUCAACUCGAGGUCGAAGUAUCCCUGAACACUUCCAAUCCUAUGGCAUGCCAACUAUAUCCGACUCAGCCCGACUAGUUAAUAGGGUAUUCAAUUCACUUUCUCAAUCCUAUAUCACUUUCAAUUCACAAUUCAAAUCACCAAUCAUUUUUCAAUCAAUACGCUUUUCAAAUAAUUACAUCUUCCAUAAUUCACUUAUUCAAUUCAAUUUGAUUCAAUUUGCAUCACUUUCAUUUUCACUCAAUAUUCAUAUCAAUUUCACAUACUUACCUCAAGUCUUACUUACCAUACAUAACAAUAAAAAAAAUUCAGCAAUCAAUAAUAAUUAAAAUUCGAAUUAUAGUAAUACACACCGUAAUUCUCCCGUUUUAGUACUCGAUGACUUUCUCCUUUCCUUUCGAUGCUGAUGCUUCAGGUUCUUUGUUGGCUACGAAAAUAAUAAUUUAUAAUCAUCAAUACAACAUGAUUCAAUUUAAUUCAUGAGCCUAAACAUGCAAAUUUAACCAUUUUUAAUGUAUAUAUAUAAUUUCACCAUUAAGCUGUCUACUUGAGUCAUUGUUACUAAAUUAUUUAUAUCUUGUGCUACGAAACUCCAAAUUAAUAUCCGUAAAUUUUCCUUAAAACUAGACUCAUAUAUCUUCUAAUCAUAAAAUUUCCAGAAUUUUUGGUCUAGCCAUUUAAUACAGUUUAUUCGUUAAAUACUCCCCUGUUAUUUCAUUUGACAGUUCUGACCUCUCUCUACUAAAACUAAAUUAUCUCAUUGUACAGAACUCGAAUAAGGUUCUUGUUUAUUUAUUUUGAAACUAGAUUCAUUAAGGAGUUCACAUAUAUAAAUUACACUCCAUAAUAAUUUUUGUACAAUUUUUAAUGAUUUUCCAAAGUUAAAACAGGGCAUCUCGAAAUCACCCCGAACCAGUAUUACAAAAUUUCAAAUAUCUCUUGAUUCAUUAAUUAAUUGCUUACACUGUUUCUACUAUAAGAAACUAGACUCAAUAAGCUUUAAUUCCAUAUUUUGUUCAUCCUCUAGUUAAAUUUAUAAAAUUUUUAGUGAAUUUUCAAAGUCAGACCAUUGCUACUUUCCAAAACUGUUUUGAUGAAAAAUGUUAAUAACCAAAUUUAUAACACCAAUUCACACCUUAUUCCUAUUCAAAUUUCAUUUAAACUCAAAUUUAACUAUUAAAUUUUCAACAUAUUUUCUUAAUUCCGAAUUUUCCUCAAUCUAGUCCCUAAAACACAAAACUUAUAGCUUACUUUGCAAUUCAAUCCUUAUAUUUAUUCUAACUUGAAUUUCGUUCAAUUAAACCCCUAUUUCAUCAUUUUAUUCAACAUGAACUUUGUUUAGAAACCUAAGAACUUCCAAACUAACAACUUAAUUUCAUCAAAAACUUGUUUUAAGACUUCUAAAAUAUCAAAAUUAUGAGAAAAGGACUUGAUUGAGCUUACCAAUUAACUCCAAGCUUCAUAAACCUUAUUUCCCCUUUUCUUUCUUCUUUCCUUUCUUUCUCCCCUGUUCUUCUCUGUUUCGUUUGCUUUCAUUCUGUUUCUUUUAACUUAUUUGUUUCUUUUAUAUAUAAUAAUAUAAUAUAAUAUAAUAUAAUAUACUUAAUUAUUAAAUAAAUAUAUAUAUUUUUAAUCAAUAAAAUUUUUGAUAUUUUCCACGUUAAACCGCCUCAGCUAUAGGAAAUGGUUUAAUUUCCUCUUAAGUCCUUAUAAUUUUUCUUUAAUCUAUAAUUAAACUUUUACUCUUAUUCAAUUUAAUCCUUUUUACUAAUUACUCUAAAUUAAGCUAAAUUUACUUAAUUAAAACCUAAUUAAACACACUACUAGACUCAUAAAUAUUUUUAAUAAUUAUUUUUGAACUUAUUUCACUAAAACGGAGGCCCGAUAACACACUUUUCUGGUGCCCACGGAUUUUGGGUUGUUACAUCUUACACAUCUCAUAUCAGUUUGCCAUGGUAUCUUUCAACCAUGGUCUUACACAUUUCAUAUCAGGUUGCCAUGGUAUCUUUCAACAAUGGUCUUACACAUUUCAUAUCAAAGGGCACACUCCCGCGAACCUCAUCCUUACAGUGGGAUUACCAGUCCAGGCUAAAUCCCCUGUAAUAUAAACUCAUAGAGUAUUGUCAGGAUUACCAGUUCAGGCUAAAUUCAGACCCUAAUUCGGAUUACCCGUCCGGGCUAAAUCCGUUUUACACGUAUUCUUUGGGAGGGCUAUAUCAGGAUAGGAUCACCCGUCCAGGCUAGAUCUUUUUUACCGUCAAUUCUUUUUAAAGAUCCAUCGAAUUUUCCUUUCAUUCAACUAGAAUUUUUCCCAUUUUAUCAAAUAUAUCAAUAUUUCAUUAAUUUUCAUACAAUGAACAUUCAAAUCAUAUUCACAUCAAUAACAUACAAUCUCAAGCAUUUAAGAAUAUAAUUCAAGUUACACGAACUUACCUCAUUGCUUGUUUGUGUUUAUAAUUUCAUUAAUCUGAUAUAUUUUCUUUUCCAUGAUCAAGUCUCAUAUUUGAGUCGUCCGGAUCUUUAUAAAUAAAUUUUAUCAUCAUUUUCAUUCAUUUCAUAUUCUAAUGCAUUUAAUUAAUGCUCUAGGUAAAAUUACCAUUUUGCCCCUAAACUUUUAAUUAAUGACGAUUUCAUCCUUAGGGUCAGGAAAAUAAAAUUCUUGCAAUUUAAUCCUUAUUUCCAGCUAUUAUUCUCAUGUAUAUUGAUAACAAUCCAUGAAUUCUAUAAAAUAUCAGAAUUUUUCAUAAUUUCAACACUUCUCAAGUUAAUCCCUAAAACAUGUUUUCCUCCGAUCUUGAACUAAAUUAAUAAUUUCAUUCAAUUUUGUAUUUAAAUAAUAAAAUAAUCCAUUUCAUGCAAUUUGGUCAUUUCUGACAUGUUUACAAAAUUGCCCAUAAAGUUUUACUUUUAUUCAAUUUAGUCAUUGAGCCUAAAAUAUGCAAACUAGCCAUGCUAGAUGAAUAUUCAUACAUAUUUUUCCUCCUCCUCCUCUCCAUUCCACAUCCUUACUGUAGAUAACACACUUGUAAGUAACAUUAUCCAUAAUUUUUAUUAUUUACUUUUAUGAAUAUUCAAGUUGUCUAUCUGCAUCGUAGUCACUAAAUUAUUUAUAUCUGAAUCUAUAGAACUCCAAAUUAAUAUCCAAUAAUUUUCCCUGAAUCUAGACUCAUAUAUAUUCUUACCAAAAAAAUUUCAGAAUUUUUGGUUUAGCCAAUAAGUACAGUUUAUUCUUUAAAGUUACCCCUGUUCUGCUGUCUGACAGUUCUGACCCUUAUUCACCAAAAAUUAAUUAUCUCCUCAUACAGGAUUUAAAUGAUGUUCUUGUUUGUUUUUAUUAAAAAUAUACUCAUUUAGUAUUUUAUACAUAUAAAUUUAAGCCCCAAAUUAUUUUUCUUCAAUUUUUUAUGAUUUUUCAAAGUCAGAACAAGGGAACCCGAAUUCAUUCUGACCUUGUCUCACAAAAUUCAUUAUAUCUCAAAAUUUACAAAUCCAUUGCUUACACUAUUUAUUCUAUGAGAAAUUAUACUCAAUAAGCUUUAAUUCAAUAUUUUUUUCAUCUUCUAAUUCGAUUUCUAAAAUUUAUGGUGAUUUUUCAAAGUUAGUCUACUGCUGCUGUCCAAACUGUUUUUGUGCAAGCUAUUAAUUACCAUGUUAUAACACCCUUAUUUUCUUUUUCUACAUCAUUUCUCAUCACUUUCUCUUAUUUUCUCUUCACUAACAUAUCAAAAACAUAGGACCUUAUGUAAGAAAACUCGACUACAACAUUAUUUCCAUGCUUUGUCAAUAAUAACAAACUUAAAAACAUAUUGAAAUCUUGAUAUACUUACCUUGUUCUAUUGAUACUAAUCUUUAACUUGAUUUUCUCUCUCCUACAGCUUCUAUUUCUUGAAUCCAAUUUGAUAUUCUAACUCCCCAUGCUCUCCUUAACAUUUUUGUCUCUUGGUAGCUAUGGAAAUUCAUUUGAUUUUUGGAUGAAAAUGGUGAAUUUUUGGUAAAAGGACCAAAUUGUAAAGAAAGCAAAACUUUCUUUCUUCCUCUCUUUCUCUCACGUUAGUGCAUGGGAAAAUAUGGAUGAGAAUUUCUCAUCUUUCUUUCUUUAUAUACUAAUAAAAUAAUAAUAAAAUAUCUUAUUAAAAUAUUAAUAAAAUAAUAUUUAUCUAAUUAAAUAAUUAUAAAAUAUCAAAAUAUCUCUAGCAUCAUUAUUACUUUCUAGAUUUCUCUCUCUUUCAAUUGACCAUUUUUCCCUUCAUUAUCUUUUAAAAUUCCAUCCUUGAGUCAUCGUUUAAUUUGGUAAAAUUGCAAUUUAGUCCCUCAUAGUUCUUCAUCUAUUCAAUUUGGUCCUAAUUCAUCCAUUUUCCUUAGUUUCUAGAUCAUUCCACUAUUAAAUUAUUUACACUAUUGGUCCUUCAACUUUUUCAUAUUUACACUUUAACCCCUCAAAUUAUGAAUAUUUACUCUUGUGCAACAAAACUUUUCUCACUUUUACAAUUUAGUCCUUUCUUGAAUUAAUAUAUCAUAAUAUACUUCUCAAUAUUGACAUAACUCAAAAUUUCCCUUUUUGUCACUUUAUUUCCUUAUUUUACUAUAUCAAGGAUAAUAUCUUACUGUAAAAAUUUUCAGGGUAUUACACGGAUAAUAUUCCCGUUGAUUUUUCCUGAAAAUAGACUCAUUAGGGAUUCUAAAAAUAUAACUUUAGGCCUCUAAUUAUUUUUCUCCAAUUUUUGGUGAUUUUCCAAAGUCAGAACAGGGGAACCCGAAUUCAUUCUGACCUUGUCUCACAAAAUUCAUUAUAUCUCAUAAUUUACAAUUCAAUUGCUUAUAUAAUUUCUUUUAUAAGAAAGUAGACUCAAUAAGUUUUAAUUCCAUAUUUUAUUCAUCCUCUAAUUCAAUUUCUAAAUUUUUUGGUGAUUUUUCAAACUUAGACUACUGCUGCUGUCCAAAAUAGUCUCAGUGCAAAAUGUUGAUUUUCUACUUUUAAUUUCAAUUUAAUCCUAACUAAAUUCACUUACUUUUCUAUCUUAAUUUAUAUUUUACUUCUACUCAAUUUUUAACCAAACUUACACAUAAUUAUCUAUUUUUCAUCAUAAAACCAUAAUUUUGAAAUUCUUUCAAUUUAGUCCUUAAAGCAUAAAACUUAUGAAUCACUUUACAAUUCAAUCCUUAUUUCAUUUCUAACUUGAAUUUCUAUCAAUUUAGCCCUUAAUUCAUCUUUUUGUUCAAUAAGAACAAUGUCUUAUAAUCAACUAUCUUACAAUAAAUCAACUUAACUUCAUCAAAACCUUGUUCUAAAGUUUCUAAAACAUCAAAAUUAAGUAAAAAGGGCUAAAUUGACAUACCUAUUUAAAUCUCAAGCUUCAAACCUUGAAUUUUCCCUUUCUUCUUUCUUUUCUCCUUUCUUUCUUUCUUUCCCUGCUUUUCGUUUUGCCUAUUCUGUUUCUAUUUCUAUUCUUUUUUUUUUCUUUAUUUCCUUUUAUAUAUAUACACACAUGUAUUUAUUAUUUAAAUAAUAAGUAUUUUUUAUUUAUUCAUGUAUAUAUUAUUAAUACAUUUGUAUUCAUUUAUAACCAUACAUUUGUCAUUAUCUAAUAUAUUUAUCAUAUAAAAUAUUAUAAUAUAAUUAUUUAAUUAAUAAAUAUAUUUUAUAAUUAAUAAAUAUAUUUUAAUACUUAAAUACAAGCAUUACAAGUGUAUGUAUUUUUUUUUAUUAAUACACUUGUACCCAAUCAUUACCACACAUUUGUCUUACUUUUAUUUAUUUAUCAUAUAAUUUUAAUUUAAUAGUAAUAAAUACACUAAUAUUUACUUAAAUAAUAAUCAAAUACAUACAUGUAUUACAAAUUUGUGUAUUAUAUUUAUUACACUUGUAUUUUAUUUUUGCCAUAUACUUAACAUUUUUUUGGCUUAUUUGUUUAUUUAGUCCUUUCAAUUUUCUUUAUUCUAUAAUUAAACUUUCACACUUCAUUCAAUUUAAUCAUUUUAUCCAAUUAUCCUUAAUUUAAGCUAGUUCACUUAAUUAAAAUCUAAUUAACCACUCGAUUAACUUUGUAAAUAUUUUUAAUAAAUAUUUACUAAUCCAUUUUUAGAAACGGAGACCUGAAAAUACACUUUUUCAGUAACGGUAAAAUUCGGGUCAUUACAAAUACAAUUGUGUCAAUAUCUAAUUACAAAUAAUUAAUGAUAAUAUUUAAAUAUUUAAAUAUAGUUUAUAUAUUCUAAUUAAAUUUAAUAAAUAAUUAAUAUUAAUUUUUAGAAUUAUUUAAAAUUAAUAUUAUAUAUUAAAAUAUUAACAAUAAGUUAUAAUAAUUUAUUUUUUAUAUUAUUACUAAAAUAUCAUAAUAUUAACUAAUUUAAACAUUAUUUAAAUGCAUAUUUGUUACUUUAUAAUAUCAUGUCUAAAAUGGACAUUUUAUUUCUCGGAAGUAUUUUUUGACAGCAAUACCAAACACUCGAAUUUUAAACCAAACUUUUCAAAAGCACUUCUCAAACGUAUUUUUCCACAACACUUUAUCAAAAGUAUUGCCAAACUAGCCCUAACUUGUUCUCGUUGUUACAUUAAAGAAAUCUUCAUAAGAUUAGUUAAAAAAAUCAUUAAAACCUAAUUAAGAAUUGUUCUUAAUUGGGUGGUAAUCAACAAUUAAUAGUCAACAAAAACUGAUGAUGUGGCAUAUGAGUAUCGCUUUUAAUUAAAGACUUGAUUGAUUUUUAAAUAUUUAACAACUUAUCUUUAUCAUCUAAAAAUUCUAUAAAGUUUAUAAAAAAUUUAUAUAAAAAAUACUUUUUAAAAUUAUAAAAAAAAUCUAAAUAAAUAUGCCAAAAGAUUCUAACUUUUUCUAAAAAAUAAAUAAAUAAAACUUCAAUUUUUAAAAGAUGAAUUAAGAAAUUUAAUCACAUUUAUCUAAAUCUUUUUAUACAACAAACCAAUCAUUAAACUAUUAAAUAAAAAGUUAAAAAAAUCAUAACACAAAUAUAUGAAUAUCUCACCACAUUGAUUUAUUUAAUUGUUGCUUUAGAGAAAUAAUUCACUGUCGUUUAAGUGCACAAAUAAACACAUAUAGAGUACCUAAAAAUAUCAUCAUUUGCAGAUAUACAAAUCAAUGAAACAACUCAAUUACUUGAACUAUUUUUGUUUCCUCUUGUCACUAUACUUAUAUUUAAAAUGAUAUAAUUUUACAUUUUAAAAAGUUAAUAAUUUUUGUUCUUAUUAAAUGCACUACAUUUAUUUCCUAUCAAUUUUCCACUCAACAAAAGGCAAUCGUAUAUUUUAAUUGAUCUUUCUCAAAUCUCAUUGGUAUUUGGUGAGGUGGGGCACAUCUUUUUUUAUUUAUUAAUAAAUAAAAUGCAUUGGAAUUAUCUAUAAUCAUAUAUUGAUAAGAAGGAAAAAAACAAACAUCCUUAUUUAAAAGGUAAAACAUAUCAUCGUCAUCAUUCCAACCCUGAUUGAUAAAAGAUUUGGCUAUGAAACUUCAAAGGUUUAUAUCCGAUUUCUUUUUAAAUUGUUUUAGAUUUACAUCAUUAUAUGUGCAUAUCAUGGUCAGACAGUGAAAUGGAAUCAAGUUAAAAGAUUUCGAUGAGUAUGAGAUUUCGCAAAAUAUUGAAAAAAAAAUAUUACUAAAAUAUUAAUAAAUUUAUGUUUCAGUCACUUAAUUUUAUAAAGUUACAAAAUAGUUAUUUAACUAUUCGAAAAUUUUUAUUUAAAUUAUUAAAUUAUUUAAAAGUUUUUAUCUAAGCCACUGAGUUAUUAAAUUUUUUUAUAUAAAAAAGGGUUCGGUUAACGAGCUUUAAGCAACGAUUCGAUAAUUGAUGUUGUAGAUCAAUACCUAUCAACAAAAAAAAAAUAUCUUAAAUCUAAGUCAAUCUGAUGGUUAGUGCUAAAAGUUGGAGAAGAAAAAUGUUUGAAUUUUGGUUUAUUGAUUCGUGGCUUUUAAAGUUGUUUCAUGAAAAAAAAAUGAACUAUAAAAGAGAAGGGGGAAAGCUUUCAAUUGAUCUAGACGGGUCAAAUAGAGAAGGUUAUACAAUAGCAAUUUUAAUAGCAUAGUGAUUUAAAUAAAAACUUUCAAAUUAUUCAAUAAUCAUUUUGUAACUUUUUAAAAUUAAGUGACCAAAAUAUAGAUUUACUAAUAAUUUAAUAACAUUAACUAUAAUUUACCCUACAAUUUUAGGAGGAAGAUAAUUAACUUCAGUUAAUGGCAUAAAAAUCUCUUUUUGGGAAGGAGUUGUUUAUGGAUGAACCCAAAAUCCAAUGUCAACAACGAUGUUAUUUUAAUGAGUAAUUUGCCAUUACAUCACCUGUUGGGUCAACCAAUAACAAUAUUAUUAAUAUAACAUUAUAUAUGUUUAUAUAUUAUAUAUAUAAAUAAUUAUUUUUAUCUAACAUUAAAACAAAUUAAUUUAUUUAUUUUUUAAAUAUUUUUAAUUGAGUCAAAAAUAAAAUUCAAUUAAUAUAAUUAAAUCAUAAUAAAAAAUCUAUAAAUUACAUUCAUAUUAAAUAUAAACAAAUUAUAUAUUGAAUCACAAUUUAAAAUGAUCUUUUUUCACUUUUGAAAGAUCUAUUUUCAUAAAAUAUAAAUACUACAGGAUAACGAUAUAAUUCAUUCUAUAACAAAAGGAGAUAGUUUAUUCAAAAUAAUUAUAACAAUCAAUUAAAAGAUCUGUUCAUCAGUUUUUUUACAAUAAUGUUAGGGAAAGAACUACUUCCAAAAGUUAUAAUUAAAAAUGUUGUACAAAUGAAUCUCGUGUGUUGGUAUGAUAAUUAGAGUAUUUAUGGUUUCAGGUGUGGUUUAAAUUUGAAUCGUGCUAAUUGUGUUGUUAUUAGGGUUUUGCCCUCCUCUUAUAAUUCACUAAAAAUAUGGUACAAAUUUGUUAAAAAAAAAGAUUUGAUAUUGAGGUUAACUAAAACAUAAUAAAAUAUAUAUAUUUGAAGUAAUAUUUUAGAGUCAUGAGUAUAAUAGAACUAUAAUUCUUAUUUAAAAACUUGAGAAAAAUUAUUGAGGGAUAUAUUUAGGUAAUUUAAAUAAGAAUUUUAAGUUUAUUGUUUUUAAAAAAAAUUAAAAAGAGUUUAUUUUGUUAUUUUUAUAUUUUUUAAGGGUUAUUUAAUUUUAAUUUUAAUUUUAAUUUUAAAAAGGGACAAACCUAAUCUACAAAUAAACCAAAAAAAUAAACCAAAAGUUUAAAAACAUUUGAUUGGGAGCCACUAACAUUAGCAGAACCUUUUUUUUAUUCAAUCCAAAAGGGUAAUUUCUUCAUCAGGUCCCUAAACAUUUUAUAUAAUUACAUUUAGUUUGAUGUUGUCAAUAGCAACAACGACAUCCAAAAGUUUUAAAUUUUUUUUAAAACUAGCCUGUGAUUGGCCCAUUAUGAAAGGUGGUGCCACCAAUGACAAUGAUAAUAUCAAGGUUUAUUGUUCAAAAUAAGUCAUUUUCGUACAUAAUUUUUAAAUAUCAAUACUCAAAUAUCCAAAGCUUCAGCAUUUAUCAAUAACACUAAAUUUUCAGACAUUGUUAUAUGUAAUUUUUAUAUUUUCCACAUUCCAAGUGGAACAAAUUUUACUUUUUUAGCGAAUUUUAAAGAUUAAUAUCAAAUAAAUUUUCUUCUUUUACUUAAUAGGUUCCAACAUUAUAAUUUUAAAGUUUUUUUUACCUAAAUAAUACAAAAAAUAAAUUAAUAACUGAAACGGCAUGCCCAUUAGUUUAUUUACCAUAAUGGUAUGGUUUUAUUGGUGCCGCCUGUCAAAUUGGUGGCAUUAGAUUGAAAUGUAAUGAUCUAAAGUAUUCAAGGACCUGAUAGCAAAUUUUCUAUUUUUAGUGGCCGUUAAAAAACGUAAAAGGGUGCCGCCUGUCGCCUCACCAAACCUUAAAUGUGACUAAUUGCUUUGUAUGUGACACCCCCUAACCCCAAACCGUCGCCGAAAUGAGGUUAUGAGGCGUUACCGGACAUAUCAGACAACUUACGAAUAAUUUACAAUUAAUAUAACUUUCACAGUAUAUGUAAUACCCCAUACCCGUACCUGAGAUCGGGAUAGGAUACGAGGCAUUACCGAAAUUUUCAGAAUAAUUUCAAUUAAUUUAUAUUAUUUAGUAUUCAUUUUCAUGUUUCAUGUAACAUUCUUUUCAUAUAUUCAAUUCAAAAUAUCAUAUAAAAUACGAUACAAUACUUAAAUUUUCAUAUUUACAUGCUCAUUCAGGGUAUCCGAACCUACCUAAUUAAAUUGCAGAAAUACCAAGAUUUAGGGGCAUAUUGGUAAUUUAUCAUUUUCCCAAAUUUCACUCAAUCUUAAAUUGAUAAUUUCAUUCAAUUUAUUAAUUUAGAUAAUAAAACAAUUUAUUCCCUUCAAUUUAGUCAUUUUUUACAUUUUUACAAAAUUACCCCCUAAAAUUUUACUUUUAUUCAAUUUAGUCCAUGAGCUUAAAACAUGCAAAUUAGCCAUGCUAACUGAAUAUUCAUAUAUAUGUUUUCUCCUCCUCCUCUCCAUUCCACAUCCUUAAUGUAUAUAACAUUCUUGUAAGUACGAUUUCACAAUUUACUUAUUAAUGCUCACAUCAAUUUGUUCACACGAGUCAUAGUCACUCAAUUAUUUAUAAUUCGAGCUACAGAGCUCAAAAUUAAGAUCCGUAAAUUUUCCCUAAAACUAGACUCACAUAUCAUUCCACCAUAAAAUUUUAAGAAUUUUUGGUUUAGCCAAUUAAUACAGUUUAUUCAUUUAAUUUUCCCCUGUUUCACUAUUCAACAGUUCUGACCUCUCUUCACUAAAAAUUAAUUAUAUCAUAGUACAAAACUCGGAUAAUGUUCGCAUUGAUUUCUAUUGAAAAUAGACUCAUUAAGGAUUCUAAGCAUAUAAAUUUUAGACUCUAAUUAAUUUUAUCCAAUUUUUGGUGAUUUUCCAAAGUCAAAACAGGGGAACCCGAAUUCAUUCUAACCUUGUCUCAUAAAAUUCAUUAUAUCUCAUAAUUUACAAAUCCAUUGCUUACACCGUUUCUUCUAUGAAAAACUAGACUCAAUAAGCUUUAAUUUUAUAUUUUAUUCAUCUUCUAAUUCGAUUUCUACAAUUUAUGGUGAUUUUUCAAAGUUAGUCUACUUCUGCUGUCCAAUAUUGUUUUAGUUCAAGAUGUGUUUAUUACCAUUUUUCCUCUAAAUUUCAAAGGUCAUAUAAUUCAGUCAUUGCUCAAUUAGCCCAUCUAUUAAGCUAAUUUUUCUCAAUUAACAUUUUAUUCCAUCAUUAUAAACUAUUACACAACCUUUGAAAAUCAUCAUUUUAACACUAAACCUUAAUUCACAACUUUUUCACAAUUAGGUCCUAAAAUCAAUUUCUAUUGAAAUUACUUGAUAAAAUCAUCAAACAACAAAAUCAAAGCUUCAAAUUCAUUUUAUUUCAUCAUAAACAGCCAAAACUUAUCAUUGAUAUCUUUUAAUUUUGUUCAUAAAAUAAAAAACUAAUGAAUUAAACACUUGGACCUAAUUGUAAAAGUCACAAAAACAUAAAAAUCUCAAAGAAAAGGGUAAGAAUUGAACUCACAUAUGUCAAAGUAUGAAAAACCAGCAGCUUUCAGACCUCCCAUGGUGUUUUUGCUGAAGAAAAAUGAUGAUAUCUCUAGAUUUUUCAAAUUUGUCUUGUUUUAUAUGUUUAAUUUACAAAAUUUCCCAUUUUGCCCUUGUUUCUCCUUGUCUUUUUUACUGAUUUUCUUGCCCAACCGUCGUCCAAUUGCCUUUUAAAUCCCUCCUUUUUAAUCACUUAAACUAUUUAAUCACAAUUUAAUAAAUUUCGCACUAUUUUCAAUUUAGUCCUUUUUAAUUAAUUGACUAACCAAACGUUAAAAUUUUCUAACGAAACUUUAAUACUAACUUAAUAACACUCCAUAAAUAUUUAUAAAAAUAUUUAUGGCUCGGUUUAUAAAUCCGAGGUCUCGAUACCUCGUUUUCAACCAAAUUUACCUAAUUAAUUCUUUUAAAAUCGCAAAAUUCACUAAUUAAAAAUAAUUCUUUUAAGUUCGCGCUUGGCCUAUAAUUAUUAUUUGUUAAAAUUUCUAAACUUACUCGUCGGAUUUAGUGAUCUCGAAUCACUGUUUCCGACACCACUGAAAAAUUUGGCUGUUACAGUAUAAUAUAAUAAUUAAGUCCCUAACUUGGACUCUCGAAGUUCAAACACGUAUUAAAAGUAGAACGAGACUUGUUCGAGUAUUCCAAUUUUUUUUUUUUUUAUAAAAAAUUUCGACAGCAUUUCUACUUAUUUUUAUCUAAACCUCCUGUAAAUUCAAACCAAAAUCACCAACACCAAUGUUUCACAUUCAUAUAACUAAUAUUUAUAUCAUUAACAUAAUUUUAACUUAAGAACUAUCAUAGCAUCAUUCAAAAUUGAUUAUAAACUUCAUUCAUUUAACAACUUAAUGUUCGUGUAUCAAAAUAUCAUGUACUUUCCUUACCAUUUCAUUUAACCAUCUAAAUCUUAUAAUUCAUCAUUUACUACUCAAAGUAAUAUACAUAUUCAAGUGACUAAACAAUACCUAUGUACAUGCCAUCUUUACCCAAAAGAAAAAUAUCCAUCACCAAGUUUGUGUUAGAGUCGGGAUUGUUCUGGAUGCUGAGCCGGGACACUUGACUUCUACUAACCCGCGCACGGAAACAACCGUACGCUGAGUAUGGAUAUACUCAGUGGUAUUACUAUAAAUCAAGACUAUUUAACAUUAAUAAAUUACAAACAUCAACCAUAAAUUUUAUAAUUAUUUAAACUACUUUUAUAUAUAAUUAUUUUACUUCAUAAAUCUUAAAUUCAUAAUUCAUUUUUCUCAUACUAACUCAAUUCAUAAUUUAGUUCAUACAUUCUUUCUCGUACUUUUCAAUAGUGCUAAAACAAAUAAUCUCAUUUUCAAAAUUUUAUUUCAAUUAUUUAUCCUAUUAACAAAGCUCGGACUAUGACAAAUACACGAAUUUCCACCCAAACACACCAGAAUGUCCAACCCAAACACACCCAGAAUAUUUUAAAUCCUCCAUAACACAUCAGUAAGGCAUUAAGUGCCUCUUCGGAUAAAUCGAAGUAUAUAAUAAUAGAAACAUCUUCUCGGCCGAACUACAAUCUCCUCAUCACAUCACAAAUCCAAUGGCAUGCCAUUUGUAUCAAAUCUAGUCCGGCAAGUUAAUAGGGUAUUAUUUUACUUUUUCUAAUUUCAAUUUAAUUUACACAAAAAAAUUCAAUACUCAUUCAAUUCAAAUAUCUAUUAUCUUAAUUCAUAUACAAAUUAAUUUUCACACAAGUGUAUACCAUCAACACCAUACAAUUGUCACCAUUUAUUUAUUUUUCAAUCAAUACACUUUUCAAAUAAUCACAUACUUACCUCAAGUCUUACUUACCAUACAUAACAAUUAAAAUUUCAGCAAUCAAUAAUAAUUAAAAUUUGAAUUAUAGUAAUACACACCGUAAUUUUCCCGUUUUAGUCCUCGAUGACUUUCUCAUUUCCUUUCGAUGCUGACGUUUCAGGUUCUUUGUUGGCUACGAAAAUAAUAGUAAUUUAUAUUAUUAUUUACAGCAUUAAUUAUAAUAAAUAAUUAAAUUUCUAAACAAUUCCUACCUUGUUCCCAAUUUAAUCCUAACUAAACUUAAUUAUUUUCUUAAUCCAAUUCACUCUCUUUUUCUAUUCAAAUUUUGUCUAAACUUAUAUUUAACUAUAAAAUUUCCAGCAUAUUUCCCUAAUUUCGAAAUUUCUUCAAUUUAGUCCCUUCAACAUAAAACUUAUAGCCUAGUUUACAAUUUAAUCCCUUAAUCAAUUCUAACUUAGAAUUCAUUCAAUUAAAUCCCUAAUUCCAUAAUUUAUCCAACAUGAACCAUAUUUGGAAACAUAUAAACUCUUGAAUUAUCAACUUAAUUUCAUCAAAACUUAUUUUAAAGCUUCUAAAAUAUCAAAAUUAAGAGAAAAAGACUUAAUUAAGCUUACCAAUUAAACUUGAAGCUUUAAAAUCCCAAUUUCCCUUCUUUUUUUCUUUCCCUUUUUCUUCCCCUGUUUUCGUUUUGUUCCCUGAUUCGUUUCUGUUUCUUUUGUUUUGUUUCUUUGUUUCCUUAAUUCUUUUUAUGCAAUAUUAUUUUAUUAACAUAAUAUAAUAUUAAUAUCAUAUAUUAAAAUAUCUUUUACUUUAAUAUUAAGUAAAUUAAUAAUUAUAUAACAAGUGUACAUAUUUAUAUUAUUACAAAUGUCAUUAUCUAAUUUGCUUAUCAAAUAAAAAUCUCAUGAUUUAAUUAAUACAAUUAAUAAUUAUAAAAUAUCUUUAUACUUAAAUUAUAAGUAAUUAAAUAUUUAAAUUACAAUUGUACCAAUACAAUUCUUACACAUGUAUAUUUUAUUACCAUACAAUUGUCUUCUAUUUAAUUUAUUUAAUAAAAAUGCUAAUAAUAAUCUAAUAUAAAAACAUAAUGUUAAUUAAUAAUUAUAAUAAUUUAAUAUAAAAUCAUAAUAAUAAUCAUUAUAAUAUAUAAAACUUAAAAAAAAUCUUUAAUUUUAUUUCACCAAUAUGCCGCCUCAUUUGUAGUCAAUGGCUUAAUUGCCAUUUUAAUCCUUUUUAUUUUCUAUUGCUUUAUAAUUAAACUUUUACUCUUUAUUCAAUUUAAUCCUUUUUAUUACUUACUCUAAAUUAAGCUAAAUUCACCUAAUUAGAUCUUAAUUAGACACACCACUAGGCUCAUAAAUAUUUUUAAUAAUUAUUUUCGAACUUAUUUCACUAAGACGGAGGCCCUACAGCUCACUUUUCCGGUGCCCGUGAAUUUCGGGUUAUUACAUUGUAAGCCCUCCUUAUUUAUUAUUUUAUUUUUAUUCCCCUUCAAUGCACUAUACUGUGUUUAAACAAGCCCUUAACUUAUUUUUGUAGUUAAAUAAGCCCUUAACUUAUGAUUUUUACUCAUAAAAGCCCUUUAUUUUAAUAUUAAAGUAAAUAUAUUUUGAGUUUCAAGCUCUUAUUUUAAUUUUUUGUUGAUGCAAUAAAAAUUAUAUACACUUUAACAUUAAUAUAAAAUCUAGAAAAGUAAUAAAAAAACUUCAAAAGAGUAGUUAAGAAUAUCACGUAUAUAAGCACUCUCAAUAAAUUUUUAAAAUUUUAUUUUUUUUAUUUAAUAAACUAUUCUCAUCAAAUUCACAUCAACAUAAAAUGCGAAUUAAUUUAUAUUUUUUAAAUAGCUUUACUUUAGGUAAAAUAUAUUUAUUUUAAUAUUAAAAUAAAGAAAUUUAUUUGAUAUUAAUCUUUAAACUUCGCUAAAAAGGUAAAAUUCGUUCCACUUGGAAUGUGUAAAAUAUAAAAAUUACAUAUAACAAUAUUUGAAAAUUUAGUGUUAUUGAUAAAUGUUGAAGCUUUGGAUAUUUGAGUAUUGAUAUUUAAAAAUUAUGUACAAAAUGAUUUAUUUUGAAAAAUAAACUUCUAUAUCAUCAUUGUCAUUGGUGGCACCAUCUUUCAUAAUGGACUAAUCAUUAGCUAGUUUUAAAAAAUAUUAAAUUUUUUGGGUGUCGUUGUUGCUAUUGACAACAUCAAACUGAAGUGUAAUUAUAUAAAAUGUUUAGGGACUUGAUGAAGAAAUUACCCUUUUGGAUUUUAUGAGUAAAAAUCAUAAGUUAAAUGCUUAUUUAACUACAAAAAUAGGUUAAGGGUUUGUUUAAACACAAUAUAAUAAAUUGAAGGGAAAUAAAAAGUAAUAAAUAAGGAGGGCUUACAACACAAUUAGCCACAUUUAAUGUUUGGUGCAACAGACACACCAUUUCACUUUUUUUUAGCAGCCAUUAAAAAUGAAAAAAUUCAUAUUAAUUUCUUGAAUACUUUAGAUCAUUACAUUUCGAUUCAGUACCGCCAAUUUGACAGGUGGCACCAGUAAAAUCAUACCAUUUUAGAAAAUAAUCUUAUGGUAUACCAUUCCAGUUAUUAAUUUUAUUUUUUAUAUUAUUUAGGUAAAAAAACUAAUUUUGAUUACAAAAAUCAAAAUUCUUAAAGGCUACAUCAUUUACGAUAAAAUGCUCCAUUUUAUCUUAACAAUUGUGCCCGAGAAAAUGUUAAAAGAGAGGCCUAAGAAAGACCGGGGACGUGAAUCCAAAAAGCCUGCUUCGUUAUUAAUCUUUGACUAUUUUCAACCAUAUAAUGUAAUAAAAAGCCAUUACGUCACUACCGUCAGAAGUUGAUUUUCACGUAUAAAUGGUUAUUAAAUAUUAAUACUAGAAAAGUAAUAGAGUAUAUCGUGGGUCAAAUUAAAAAGAAAAGGAAAAGAUAUCAAUUUAUAUGAUAUUUAGAUAAAUAAAUUGAUUUUGACGAGAAAAAAAUAAAAAAAAAGUCCUCCAGGGCGUGUCACAGAACAAGUUUUUUUUAAUAUAUUAUUAUUUUUGGUUGGAUGAUUUUUUUUCUAAAACACAUUUGUAUUUUUUAUUUAAUGUUGUUUAAAUUUUUUAUUUUUAUUUUAAAAUUAAUACUUUUAUUUAAUAAAUAUAUUAUUUUCAAGUUUUUAUUUUUAAUUCAUCUUUUUAAUUAAUAAAUUUUAUUUAAAAAAAUUAAAUAUUAUUUCAAAUUAUAUAAUAAAAAAUAUUUUUUUGAUAAAAUUGAUAUUUAUCAAUAUGUUAAAUAUAUUUUAUUUUUUUACCUUCAACUAAUUUUUUUUGAUAUAUAAUAUUUAUAUGUCAAAUAUUUAUUUUUUAUACUUAUAUUGUGGGUAUGAUGAUUUCUAAUAUUAUAAAAUCAAAUAAUUGUUUCAAAUAUCAUUAUUAUUUUUAUAUGUAAAAUAUGUUAAAUAUAAUUAUUUUUCAUCUACAUUGUGGCUAUGAUAUUUUAAAUAUUUUUAUGUGUGAAAUAUUUCAAAUAGACAUACAACAAAAUAUAUAAUACUAAAAUUUACAACAAUCAUGAUAUGGAUAGAAAAAUAAAUAUUACAUAUAUAAAAAUUAUAUUUACUAAAAAUAAUGAUAUUUAACCUUUUUUUAUUUUAUUUUAUAAAUAAAAUAGUUAUUAAUUAAAAAUAUUAAUUAAAAAAAGCUUGAAACAAUAUGAAAUAAAAAAAAUACAUAUGUGCUUAGAAGAUGAAUCAAACUUGGGACUCAAUGAUAAAAAUACUAUUAUUUAACCAUCUAAUCAAAAGCUAAUGCGUUACAAACAAUAAUUAAAAAUGAAAGUAAAGCUCGAACCAACAUUAAAUAAAAAUACAAAUGUAAAUAGGAGAGGAAUUAAAUCACUAAAUUUAACCAUGUAACGAAAUGAAAUAAUAUGCCAAAAAAAUCAGAAAGCAAUAUAUUUUCCUUAAAUAUUAAAAAAAUGUAUAUUUCCCUACAUAUUUUUUUAAAAUCAGCAUUUUCUUCAAAUUUCCUCGUAUAUCUUGAUCUCAUAAUACAUUAUUUAAAAAUUAAAUAAAUUAUUAUUUUAUAAUAAAAUUCCAUCUAUCAAUAAAUUUAUAAUAAUUAAUGAUUUUUAUUAAAAAAUUAAUUUCCUUUAUUUUACCCAAGAGAUGACAUUGCAACCGAGGCUUUUAUUAUUAUAAUAAUUUUUUUUCAGGAUGAUUUGCCUUUAUAGUUGUUAGUUUCUGGCCAAGAUUUAUACGAGUAGUCUUUUCAAGGGAGAAAUGGGCGAGGUCGCCGGCGGAGAAACAAAACAAUCGAGCUUGGUUUUCGCUGUUAAUGGAAAGAGGUUUGAGUUAUUUGAUUCUGAUAUACAUCCUUCCACAACUUUGCUUGAGUUCUUGCGUUCCCACACUCACUUCAAGAGUGUCAAGCUCGGCUGCGGUGAAGGUAUUUAUUUUUUUCUAUUGCCUGCUAUGGGAUUUUUCUUUUUUUUUUUUGAGUGAAAUCUUCUAACUACAUGAAAAAGAUUUAAAAAAAAAAUACAUAUAUUCAUAUAAUAAGGAAUAAGGAUAUGCCCGAGUUUUUCAUGCUGAACUUGUUUUUGCUUGAUUGAAUAUGAUUAAAAUCUUACCCAACUAUAAUUAGUUUUGAAUGAAACCAAUGAACUAAUUUGAAACUACAAGAACUUGAGAACUUUAUCAUAAGAAUCGAUAACCGAAAUCUUGACCCGAAUCUUUAUACUCGCCAAGUUUCAUGUAUCAAUGAUUACUAUGAAAUAUUAUUUUAUCCACGUUUGAAUACAUAGUUUGGGCUAAAUAAGUACUAUUUUGAAAUUUAUUUAGUUCUUUAGGCUGGUUUUAAAAUUGUUUAAAAAAAAUUCGUUGAAUUAAGCGAGCUUUUUGAAAAGAGUAUUCAGCUAGAUAAGCUUUCCAUACAAGAAAGUUCCUCUACACAUUUUUUCUUUAAGUUGUAAUUUUUGAUUUUUUUAAUAUAAUUAAUUUUUUUGGUUGAAUGAUUAAAUGUUUGUAGUUUUUUUCUUGACUCUUAAGUUUGAUUCCUCUCCGACUCAUCUUUAUAUUUUUUAUUUCAUGUUGUUUUAAACUUUUCUUUUUUAAUGAAUGUUUUUAACAUAUUAGUUAAAUAAUAAUGAUUUCAUCAUCGAGACGCAGGCUUAAUCUCUCUUUUCUAAACAAAUUUGUAAUUUUUAUUUCAUACUGUUUCAAGUUUUUUUAUUUUUAAUUAAUAAAUAUAUUGUUUCAAUUUUUUUAUUUUAAUUUAUUUUUUAAUUAAUAACUCUUUUAUUCAUAAAAUCAAAUAAUUAUUACAAAUAUGAUUAUUUUUAGUAAAUUAGUAGAUAUUUUUGUAUGUGUAUUUAAAAUAUUUCGCAUAUAAACAUAAUGAUAUUUCAAAUAAUUAAUUGAAAUAGUUCACAUAUAAAAAUAUUUGAAAUAUCACUCAUAAUGUAGAUGAAAAAAUAAUGAUAUUUGAAAUAUUUUACAUAUAAAAAUAAUUAUUUCAUUUUAUAAUUUUAAAAAUCACCAUACCCAUAAUAUACGUGGAGAAAAUAAAUAUUUGAAAUAUAAAUAUUAUAUAUAAAAAAAUAUAUCAAAAAAAUUAGUUGAUAUUUAUAUUAUAUAUAAAGGAGUUUUUAAUUUUAAAUAUUUUUAACAAAAUGAUAUAUGUAAAGUAUAUAUUUUUACUAUAUAAUUACAUAUUUAUUAUUUGAUUUUAUGAAUAAAAGAAUUAUUUAAUUGGGUCUCAAUGAUGAAAUAAUUAUUAUUUAAUUAUUUAACUAAGAUUUAACUAAGGAAGCUAAAAAGAAGAAGCUUAAAACAACAUGAAAUAAAAAAUAUAAAUGUAAGUGGAAAAGGAAUCAAACUUGAGACUUAAGUCAAAACCACUAGCAUUUAACCAUCUGACCAAAGAAAUUAAUUAAAUUAAAAAAGUCAAAAACUGCAAACGUCUAGCAAAGCAAGCUUUCUUGACACGUGUAUGAAAAAUUCGCCCAACUAGACGCGCUUUCCAGAAAGCUUGCCUAACUGGAUGAACUUUCUCUCAAAAUUGACCUAUUUCCUUAAAUAAAUUUAAAACUGGCCUAAAGACCUAAAUAAAUUUCUUAAUUGGCCUAUAGGCCUUAUUUAACCCAAAGAUUGUAUUGCGAAUAAUCACAAGCUAAGCCUACCAUAGGUAGGGGUUUGUCACUUAAAAUAGCUAAUUUGUAAACAAUACUAAAAUUUCAUUUUGGUUUUUAAAAAUGUAUAUAAUGAUAAAUUUAGUUGUUAAUGUUUAUUUUUUUUAUUAAUUUGAUCUUUAUUUUUUCUAACUAAAUUUAGUUUUUAACAUUUUAAAAAAAAUUAAAUGUUAUCUUUUGACAAAAUAUAAACUAAAAUAUAAUAUGAAUAGUAAAAUGAAACACAUAAUCAAUAAGUCGAAUAUUAGAACUACUGAACUUUUUAACAUGUUAACAAUACAUUUACACAAUCUCCAAUACUUCUAGACAUGCCGAGCUCCACGUAUUUUCAUAGGGAUUGAUUCCGUAAAAUAGAAAUCAUCGAAACACAAUCUUUGUGGGAUUGUAAAUAUUGUACCAAAAAGAUUUUUAGAGUAUACUGAAUUAGUAUAGUUAUAUUUCUCAACAACACAAUUUCAAGUAAGACAUGAAGUGUUAGAUAAUUUCUUAUUUGUUGAUGUAUAAUCAUGUAUCAUGCAACAGAAAAUUCUUCAAAUAUAAUAUAGGGGUGCUAUUAUUGAUUUGGGUCUAAAUUUGAAAGAUCAAAUAAUUUAUGAUUCUAAUGAGUUGAUAUAUAAUAAUUGUAUGUAAUAAUUUAUAAAUUGAUACAAUGAAAAUAUAUUAAACAUAAUUACUUAAAUUAAAUAUACAUAAAAUACAAAUAUUUUACGAAAGAUUAACAUUCCUGAUAAAUUUGACUAUCCUUGCAAGUUGCGACUGUAAUGUGAAGAAAUUUCUUUGUUUAGUAAAUGGAUACUCUCCCCCUACAUAUAUUAUUUUUGUCAUGGGUUGUCAUCUUUAUUGUUUUUUAUGGUCAGAAGAAAAUUAAAAAAAUCAAUAAUUAAUAUAACCCGAAAUUCAAACUUCUAGUUGAAAGUAAAAAAUUUAACUUUUCAAAAUUUUAUAUUAUCCAACCUUAUAUUUAUUAAAAUAUUAAUAUUUAGUAUUUAUAUUCAACAUAUAUCUUAAUAUACAUAUGAGAAUAUAGAUUUUCAAAUAUAUCAAAAUUUAAAUAUAUACAUAUUAACAGUCAUCCUAACGGUAUAAACUUCCAUAUUGUUUUAUCAGCUCUCCCUUUAACGGUUAAUAUCACCCCCUCAACCAAAAGAAGAAAAAAGCACUCUUUAUCUGUCAAAAAAAAGUACUCUUUAGCAUGAUUUAAAAAAAUAUGUUUGAGAUUUGAGUUAUUAGUCUAAAUUUGAAGAUCGAUGUGAUGGUUGAAAGAUUUUAAAUAAAAAUAUUAAAUUAAAAAAAUGAUAUUAAACAAAAAAAAUUAAUAAAUACGAAUAAAGUUUGAAAUCCAAAUCCAUACUUUGAGUUUGUAUUAAUCAUUUAUAAUUCUAAGCAAACUUGAGCAAAGUUUAAGUAUAAAUUAUAUUAAAUACCAUACAAUGGCAUGCUUGUAGCUAACCUAACCCGACGGAUGAACUGCUGUUAACCCAACUCGAAAAGAUUCUCGAUUAUUCAUGUUUAAUACACUAAAUAAUAAUGUAUAUCUUAAAUUUUGCAUUAAACUAUGUUUGUUAUUAGUAAGGGCUCAUAUUCUGAACAUUUUAAGAUGGAAUAGAGUUGGAACCAAGAAAAAAGAGUAGAAAAUAGACUGGUUUCUUUUUUUGGGUACAAAUUACAAUGGUGCUUCAAAAUAUUAAUGUCUGAUGUUCCAAAUCUAUAUACUUAAAAUCAGUUCUGGAAGGUUUUAAAGUUAUAGUGAUCAAGUUUUUAUUAUGUGAGUUCAGCACUGCAAGUACUAAUUAGCCUCAGUUCAGAAUUCUUAGUUUUAUAAAACAGCAUAGCAAAAGAAGCCUGUUUGGCAUAUGAUAUCAUGUUGCCAUUUGUUAGUUUAAUGUCCCGAAAGAGUUCAAUGCAUGCUUCAUAUCUGGGGAUACUAUUUUACAGUUUUCUGUUGUAACAGUUGCUCAUGCUUUAACAGUUUUGUCUUAAGAAAUUUGGAUUCAUCAUUGCUGGUGUUUUUUCCCUGUGUAACAGGAGGCUGCGGGGCCUGUGUUGUCCUACUGUCCAAGUAUGAUCCGGUGCUCGAUCAGGUUGAGGAUUCAACUGUGAGCUCAUGCCUCACACUGCUUUGUAGUUUAAAUGGAUGUUCAAUUACAACAGCUGAGGGAGUUGGGAAUAGCAAGGAUGGUUUCCAUCCUAUUCAAGAAAGGUUCGUCGGAUUUCAUGCUUCUCAAUGUGGCUUUUGUACUCCUGGAAUGUGUGUUUCUCUCUAUUCAGCUCUUGUCAAUGCUGAUAAGACUAAUAGGCCCAAACCCCGUCCCGGAUUCUCCAAGCUGACAGUUACUGAAGCAGAAAAGGCCAUUGCGGGCAAUCUUUGUCGCUGUACCGGUUAUCGACCAAUUGCUGAUGCUUGUAAAAGUUUUUCUGCUGAUGUUGAUAUGGAAGACUUGGGAUAUAAUUCCUUUUGGAAAAAGGGAGAAAGUGAUGAAGUAAAGAUGAGUAGAUUACCUGCAUACAAUCAUAAUCAUGCAAGUUCUAAGUUUCCCGAGUUUCUCAAGAAGGAAAUCAAGGCAGGUGCCAAUCUGUGUUCUAAACUAUAUCACUGGUAUAGUCCUACUAGUAUUGAGCAACUUCAAAGUUUUCUGCAAAAGAAUGAGGCCGAGGAUGGAACCUCAAUGAAGAUUGUUGUUGGUAAUACCGGAAUGGGAUAUUACAAGGAACAAGAACACUAUGACAAAUAUAUUGAUUUAAAGCAUAUUCCCGAGCUCUCAAUCAUCGUGCAAGACCAGACUGGUAUAGAAAUCGGAGCAGCUGUGACUAUUUCAAAGGCUAUUGAAGCGCUGAAGCAAAAUAAGAUAGGUGAUUUUCCCCUAGAUAGUAAAACUGUGUUUAAGAAAAUUUCUGACCAUAUGGAGAAGAUAGCAUCAGGGUUCGUAAGGAAUUCAGGUAGUGUGGGAGGAAACUUGAUGAUGGCCCAAAGGAAACAGUUUCCAUCUGACAUUGCUGCCAUAUUACUUCCUGUGGAAGCAAUAGUGAAUAUAAUGAUAGGCCAGAAACUUGAAAAGUUUACACUGGAAGAGUUCCUUGGAAGGCCUCCUUUGGAUUCCAAAGCCAUUCUUUUAAGCAUUAAAAUUCCGAGCUGGGAGUCGACAAAGGAUAUUUCAUCUGAAACUGAUACUAAGUUGCUAUUUGAAACUUAUCGUGCUGCACCGCGUCCUCUUGGAAAUGCACUGCCCUAUUUAAAUGCUGCUUUCUUAGCUGAGGUUUCCUUUUCCAGAAAUUCUACAGGAGCUACUCUAAAUAACUGUCGAUUAGCUUUUGGCGCUUAUGCUGCCAAACAUCCCAUUAGAGCAAGGACAGUUGAGAAGUUUCUGAUUGGAAAGGUUCUAAGUGUCAGUGUCCUGUAUGAGGCUAUUAAAUUACUUGGAACCACUAUAAUACCAGAAGAUGGCAUCUGUAGUCCUGCUUACAGUCGAGUUUGGCUGUUGGUUUUCUCUACGAGUUCCUGAGCCCCUUAGUUCGCACCCCUGAUGAAAUCCCCGGUGAUCAGUUCAAUGGAUAUAAUAGUGCUUUGUUACAUGUGGACUACAAUAAUGAACUGAAAGAGAACUGUGAUGAGUUAAAUGGAACCAAAAUUUCAACAUUGCUGUCAUCUUCAAAGCAGAUCAUUCAGUCAAGUAACGAGUAUCAUCCAGUUGGACAGCCAGUUACAAAAGCUGGAGCUGCCAUUCAAGCUUCCGGUAUGUCAUAUUCGAUGCUAAAUUCUUUUAAUCUCAGUUUGCUCUAUAAAACCAGACUGCGUUUCUGACUCAGCUAACCAUGUAGGUGAGGCUGUUUUUGUGGAUGACAUUCCAGCUCCGAGUAAUUGCCUGUAUGGAGCAUUUAUUUACAGCACAGAGCCUCUAGCAUGGGUGAAGAGCAUAUCAUUUAAAUCUGGAUCAUCACCAGUUGGAGUCACUGCAGUUAUUUCUGCCAAAGACAUUCCUGGGAAAAAUUUAGGUUGUAGAUCAGUAUUUGGUGAUGAACCUCUAUAUGCAGAUGAGCUCGUACAAUGUGCAGGAGAUCGGAUUGCCUUAGUGGUAAUUCAUUGAUUUCAUCAUUAUUGAAAGCUAAUUAUGCUUGCUGUAUAAGAUUUUAAUGCUUAGUUUCAUUAACUGAACGGAAUUUUCACUUUCAAGAACUUGAUCAUUGAAAUGAUUCUUUCAGGUUGCAGAUACACAGAGACAUGCAGACUUGGCAGCAAACCUUGCAGUGAUUGAUUACGACAAGGAGAAUCUAAAUCCUCCAAUUCUAUCCGUCGAAGAGGCUGUCAAGAGAGGUAGCUUUCUUGAGAUCCCUCCUUUCCUUUACCCUGAACAGGUAGGUGAUUUUUCGAAAGGAAUGGCUGAAGCAGACCACCAAAUUCUCUCUGCCGAGGUAACUUCCACAGUCUGUUACUACUUACUACUAUUAUUCUGCAUUGUUUUUUUUUUUUUUAAUAUCUGAUGCUGCUACCGAUCGCACAGACUGAUUGCUUUGUAGAGCCAUUAACUUCGAUCAUGGAUUCAAAUACUUGUUUUUGAAUUGUUACACGUAGAUCAAACUUGGGUCACAGUACUAUUUCUAUAUGGAGACACAAACUACUCUAGCUGUGCCUGACGAAGAUGACAGUAUGGUGGUGUACAGCUCUACUCAAUGCCCUCAAAUUGCACAUGAAACAUUAGCUCAAUGUCUUGGUCUUCCCGCAAACAACAUUCGUGUUAUUACAAGAAGGAUUGGAGGAGGUUUUGGUGGAAAGACCAUAAGAGCAGUCUCUGUGAGUAUCAUUAUCUUUUUUAAUUUAUUAUACCUCUUAUUUCACUGUAAAAGCUAAAUAUUUGAGUUUAUGGACAUUAUUUAGUUACAAAGAAGAAAGAGUAAUCAGAGCCAUUCAUGUUUGCUUUGAUGAAGUACUUUGCAUGAAAUUAACUGCAGUUAAAUGCAUAGCAUCAUGCUAACCAGUCUCUGAUCUCUAGUCUAUUAUACGUAUCACUGAAAUUUAUUUCCUUCAUAUAGGUUGCUGCAGCCUGCGCUGUUGCAGCUUACAAAUUACAGCGACCAGUUCGGACAUAUCUGAAUCGCAAGACUGAUAUGAUAAUGGCAGGAGGAAGGCAUCCGAUGGAAGUAACAUACACUGUAGGAUUCAAAGAUAGUGGGAAGAUUACAGCCCUAAAACUUGAGAUAUUAAUCGAUGCAGGUGUAUUCCAAGAUAUCAGUAUAAUGAUGGCACAUACUGUAGUCGAGACACUUAAAAGAUACGAUUGGGGUGCUUUGAAUUUUGAUGUAAAAAUAUGCAAAACAAACCUGCCUAGCAGAUCUGCAAUGAGAGCCCCUGGGGAGGUUCAGGCAUCUUUCAUUGCCGAAACCAUAAUCGAACAUGUAGCAUCAAGUCUUUCCAUUGAGGUGGACACCGUCCGAAGUAUCAAUCUCCACACAUACGGCAGCCUCGGCUUGUUUUACAAGAGCUCUGCAGGUGAACCAUUACAGUAUACUUUGCCUGCAAUAUGGGAUAAGUUGGCCGUUUCUUCAAGCUUUCACCAGAGGACUGAAAUGAUAAAAGAAUUCAACAGAUUUAAUAAAUGGAGGAAACGAGGGAUUUCGCGUGUGCCGAUCGUGCAAGAAAUGAUUGUGAAGCCAACUCGUGCGACAGUAAGCAUCUUAAAUGAUGGAUCCAUUGUUGUUGAAGUUGGAAGGAUUGAGAUGGGCCAGGGUCUAUGGACCAAAGCCAAACAAACGGCUGCAUAUGGUCUUAGUUUGAUAAAAUGUGAUGGCAGUGAAGAGCUUUUGGAUAAAGUAAGAGUUAUUCAAGCUGAUACAUUGAGUUUGAUUCAAGGGGGUUUCACUGGUGGCAGCACGACAUCAGAAUCGAGCUGUGAAGCAGUUAGGCUUUGCUGCAAUGUCUUGGUUGAGAGACUUACAGCUCUUAAGGAAAAGUUGGUGGAACAAAUGGGAUCUCUUCGAUGGGAGACACUGAUUCUUCAGGUAUGAACUAGGAAUUUAUUUAGCUUUUCCACUUAGAAACUAGAGGCAUUGAAGAAGUUAUCCUCAUCUUUAUAAUUUACAAUUAUUCUAAACCCUUUUGUUAGUUUUACAUAUUGUUAAAGUUCUAAUGCAAUAUGAGUGCUUAAUUUGUUCUUGAGCACCUAUAGUUAGCGAUUAAAAAUCAGAUGUCAGUCGAAUUAGUUGAUUCAGAAAUAUGUCAGGUCUAGUAAGUUAUAUAGAACCAGAUUUUAGCAAAUAACUAUCUACUGGUUCAAUCUCCAGUCCAAUUUCAAAAAUAUUAUCUAUAGUCACUUCUUUCAAACUAACAUAAAAUGCAGGCAUAUGUCGCUUCUGUGGACUUAUCGGCAAGUACACUUUUUUUACCGGAUUCUACUUCCAGUCAAUACCUAAACUAUGGUGCAGCAGUGAGUGAGGCAAGUUUCUCUAUAGCCCCUCUAGUGAUUUCAAACACAUAAACAGCUUGGAAAAUUAUUGACAUGAUUUUGUUGAACAUAUAUCCAUAUCUCGCACCUGAACUCUUCCGUAGAACAUAUAGCACACUCGUUGCUCUAAUAACCUUCAUGUAUCUUCGCCAUUCGUCAUUUGCAUAACAAAUCGUAUUGCCUUCUUGACUUUCCAUUUUACUAAUUCUGAAGCUAUGGCUCAUUGCAGGUGCAAGUGAACCUUUUAACUGGGGAAACCACAACUUUGCGCACAGAUAUUAUUUAUGACAGUGGCCAAAGCUUGAAUCCUGCUGUGGAUUUAGGACAGGUUAACCUCUUUACAAUCAAGACUUUUCACUUUUCUUAAAUAUUUUGUCUUCUACAUUUGCUCUUAACACAUAUUCGAACAUGGUUAUGACAAAUAUAUAUUGAGCAUACCCUUGAAGACAUAUCUUGGACUCAUCUGAGUCGGGUUAACAAAGGAAACAAAUGCGUUUUGCAGAUUGAAGGAGCUUAUGUUCAAGGAAUUGGAUUCUUUAUGCUUGAAGAAUACCCCACAAACUCGGAUGGAUUAGUGACAGCAAAUGGAACAUGGAGUUAUAAGAUCCCUACAAUGGACACCAUUCCUAAACAAUUCAAUGUCGAAAUCCUCAACAGUGGACAUCAUCAAAAACGUGUGCUUUCUUCAAAAGGCAAGCUCUAAGAUUCCCAUCAAUAUUCAUGCCAUCUUGCUUUGUGAAAUGAAUAUGGCAAACCAACAGCAUUCAUUCUUGUUUUGCAGCAUCUGGUGAGCCGCCAUUAACGCUAGCGGUUUCAGUUCACUGUGCUACAAGGGCGGCCAUAGUUGAAGCCAGGCGGCAACUUGCUUCAUGGAGUGGCUUCGACAAGUCUAACUCGGAGAUAUUCCAGUUGGAGGUUCCGGCCACCAUGCCAGUUGUGAAAGAGCGGAGCGGGCUUGACAGCGUUGAGAAGUUCUUGCGAUGGACAAUGGGCACAAAGUGAGGCCAUCCUACGUGCUGCAUGUAUAAAUUUUAGCUUCCCACUGUUUAAAUUUAUACAAGUUUGUGUUCAAGACAAGACGUACAACUACUCUAUAAACACGAAAAUAAUUACAAAAAUAUGACAGAUCAAAGGUAAUUAGGAUACAAAUAUAACUUGGGAGGUUUGUACAUGUUGUCUUGCUUCAAAGAUCCAACCCAUAUAUGUAAAUUGACCAAAAGAUAAGAACUUUUUGAUGGGGCUACGAGGUGGGAGAAAGGAAACUACAUAUGGCUUAGGAAUAAGACGGAUAAAGUUGAUAAACGAAGCGUAUUGAAGGCCAACUAUCGGAAGGAAAAUGAGAUGCAAACCAUCAACAGGAAGUCUUCGUACUCUUAGAUAUGAAAAGCAUGCAUGUUGCAGUCAGAUCGGAUUAAUUGAUAUUUCAGUUGAGUAAAAGAAAAAAUCAAUUGAGCAACAAAUUAUGAAUUAUGGUUAAAUUGCAAAUCAAAUGAACCAGUAAAAAAUAGGGCCAAAAUUUCACAGCUCAAACUUAAAAUAUCAACUCUUUUUCUAGCCCAAAUCCCAUAAAAACUGGUCCAAACCCUUCAAAUUUACUAAAUCCAACCCUACCCCCAAAUGUAAAACAAAGGCAGCCCUUAAUGUGUCGGAGUGUACCCCUGAACCAAAACAAAAUGCAAUAGCUUUCUAAUUUCUUUGGCCUUCGCUGGUUUCUUUUAAACCUUUGAACUGUCUAAAUUUAUUGAUUUUUGAGAUUUGUUUUUAUCAUUGUCUUUGUUCACUCUUUAUUCGUUGCACCUUCAACCCUUUGAAUACAACAAGAUAAAACUAGAGAGUGUUCCGAAACUUUGAGUUUGAAGAUUAAAGAAAACAUUAAGAUUCAAGAUUAGAGAAAAAAGAACAGAAAAAAAGAAAUUACCAUAAAAAAAAAACAAGGCUUGAUUGGUUGUCAUCAAGAUUGUUGUAUAGCCCAAAUUAUGCCCGGCCCAAAACCAAAUAAAACAAUUACAAAACCCAAACAGCAGGCCCAACUUCCACAUCAAAUGACCCAAACAAUAAAAAACCUAAAGCCCACCUAGCCCAACAAACUAAACAUUUUCAGCAGCCAAAAAACCCUAGUCACCAAGUUUUCAGCCGCCACUCCCUUUAGCCUUGGCCAUCACGCGCGCCACCACCACCGUUCGGGGCACCAACCACCGGCCUUCCAUGCGCCUGACACUCAUCUGUCACCUGCAAAGAAAGAUUCGCACGCAAGCAGUAAAAACGAGAAAGAAAAACGACAAAAAAUAGGAGUAAAUAAUCUUGUAAAUGGCUUUAAAAGCCACAAUCUCAUAUUUGAACAGGGGGUUUUUUUGUUUUAUUUUUGGUAGACAAAAAAGAAAUCUGAAAUACAAAGAAAAAAAGGGUUGCAGAAUAUUAAUCAAAAAUUUUCAAAGCAAAGAGAGGUUAGAUUCUUGAUUGCAAGUCUGAACGGAGUUAGAAUCCGAAUGGACCACCUUCCGUCGGCCACCGUUUGCGGUGGCUACAUGGUGGCUUGGGUUUGUCUUCUUUGGGUUUGAAUGGAUGAAAGCGGCUAGGGUUAAUAUCAAAAAGGGGAAGGGUUGAUUGAUCUGUUAAAGAGGGUUUUAUAUGCUUGAGGAUUGGGGGGUAUUUUCCUAAUUAACCCUCCAUUUCCUUUGCAUAUUUCAUUUCAACCCUUUUGUUUUUUUUAAUUCGAUUUAAAUUUCAAUUAGCCUUUUAUUUUAUUUUAUUUUAAUUCAUUGGUUCAUUCAUUCAUUUAUUUGUUUGUAUAUGUUAUUCGUUUAUAUAUUUAUGUUAAUUCUUGUACUCAAUUGUUAAUUGUUCCUCCAUUCUUUUAUUUCAUUAUUAUCACCUUAUUA
rnacentral:lncRNA from 1 species